AGUCAGCUCCGCCCUGUAACCUUAUGCUGCCCUGGCGGGGUCAGAUUUUGAGUUCCCUCUGUUCGGGCUGUUGGUCCUGGCAUUACCCGCAUCCAGGUUUUGUGGAAUUUGUAUGUCUGAUGUGAGAGUUUCUAGUGUUAAGAAUGUGCUAGACUUUUGUUUGAGAACAUGGAAGACAUGGCAGGCGUGUGUUUAUCUAGCGGUUACCGGUUGUGGUAUUAUAGCACGAACUAUGUUCUUGUUUUGGUGAUUCGUCUUGCCUAUUGGUCUAUAUUAUGUUCGCGAGAUCUUGAUUGCCUCGCUGGUUGAGAACUAACUUUGCUAACUUUAACUCUCUGAUGUUAUUGGCGUGUUGUUUGAAAUGCUGAUAUCGGUAGUAGUGAGAGCAACUUGAACAGGCUGACCCAAACAGACGGUGUUUUUGUCCGCUUUUUGUCCGUUUGGGUCGGCCGCCCGCUGUCCGUCCUCUUUUAGUUUUGGGUCUGCAUUGUGCCCAACGGACCGACCCAUUUCAUGACCGCGUGCGUUUAAGAUCAUGCCGUUGCCCUGGUUUUGGCGCUCUAGCGCGCGGGAAAGGUGCGCGCUCCAGCGCGCGGGAAAGGUUCACGCGCGCAUCGUGGCCGACGCUCGUUAUAAAGAAGGCGUUCCCUCCACACUCUGUUCGCCGCCCAUUCUCGCCGCCUGGGCGCUUCGGAUUUUCGGAGAGUCCGUGAGCGCCGCUCCGGCGCCUUCUCCUCUGAGAUCUGGUUUCGCGAGAAACGUCUCAUCCUCAGCAUCUUCGACACCGCAGAGGAGGCGGCCCGCGCGCACGACGCGGCGGCGUGGCGCCUCCUGAGGCCUCGUCGGGAAAUGAAUUUUCCCAACGUGUCCAGCCAGCGGGCGCAGGAUCUGGCGCCUCUCCCGCGGCUUUUCACCGACGAGGAUCGUCGUGUCCACCGGAGGCGGCUGCGUCGCCGCGCCAUCGCAGAGAAGGACGUGAAAGCCUUGGUGGUGUGGUGUAGAGGCUUCCCGCAGGACAUCGUCGACGAGCGCCAGUUCUACAAGCAAUUGAUGUUGGAGAGGGACGCAAGGAGGAGGGAGCGAGCCGCCUAUCGGGAGGACAAGCGUUCGCGGAAGCAAGCAGCUCAAUUGAAACUGAAGCUACGAGAAACGUCGGGUUGGGACUUUGAAGACGAGCAGCUUACUGACGCCUACCUUCAGACGUCGGAGGAGGAUAUUACCGAGUCGGAGUCAGAAAGCGACGAGUAGUGGUCUUUUUCUUUUAUCUGUGUACGCUAGAACUAUCUAUGUAUCUGAAAAAAUGGCCGGCGGCGUCGGCGACGUAGCAGGCGGGCGAGGGUGUGAAUCCACUGUGCCACCGACCAGCGGGAUCGAUGAGGAAAGAGGGCGAGCGCGCGCGCGUCCGUCUUGUGUCCGCGCCGACGCAAAUUAGGCUAAAAAAUGGGCCCGGAAUGGGUCGGCAGGCGGACGAAAGCGGACGCCCGUCCGUUUGGGUCGGCGCGUUGGGCCGGCUUUUUUGUCCACGCAAACCCAAACGGACGGCCGCGGACAAAAUGGGUCGCCCAUAGGAGUUGCUCUAAUUUACCAGUCAAUUUUCUCAAAAACAACGUGUGUUGUCAUAUAUAUCAUGGAAGAUCAUAAAAGCCCAUGUGAUGUGGCCACUUCACAACGGCGCGCUGGAGACAGGAGCUCCUUUCUAUUUUGAGGGAAAGAGACAGGAGUUCCAUUUUGGCGGUGAAUCCUAUGUCCUAUUCCUCUCGCAGGUCGGUGAGUAUUGAUCAAAGGUGAAUCCCCGCGCUUGUUCUUCGCAUGGGUGGGUCCAUUCUGGGGUUUUGCCCCACUGGUUAAGGGAAGGUUCCUUUCUACUUUUUUUUAAAAUUCAGGAUUUUUCAUAAAAUCAGUAUUUUUAAAUUAAAAUCAUGAACAAUUCUUUAUUUCAUGUACAUGUGGGAAAAUCACGAAGGCAUUUCAAAUUCAUGAAAUUAUUUAAAAGUUUUGAUCUGAAUUCAAGAACAAUUUUUGAAAUUCAUGAAUAUUUUUUUUUAAACUUGAUGUUCGCGAGUCCUUGAUUGCCUCGCUGGCUGAGAACUAACUUUGCUAACUUUAACUCUCCGAUGUUAUUGGCGUGUUGUUUGAAAUGCUGAUAUCGGUGGUAGUAACUUACCAGUCAAUUUUCUCAAAAACAAUGUGUGUUGUCAUAUAUAUCAUGGAAGAUCAUAAAAGCCCAUGUGAUGUGGCCACUUCACAACGGCGCUGGAGACAGGAGCUCCUUUCUUUUUUGAGGGAAAGAGACGGGAGUUCCAUUUUGGCGGUGAAUCCUAUGUCCUAUAUAUUCCUCUCGCAGGUCGGUGAGUAUCGAUCAAAGGUGGAUCCCCGCGCUUGUUCCUCGCAUGGGUGGGUCCAUUCUGGGGUUUUCCCCCACUGGUUAAGGGAAGGUUCCUUUCUGCUUCUUUUUUAUAAAUUCAGGAUUUUUCAUAAAAUCAGUAUUUUUUAAAUUAAAAUCAUGAACAAUUCUUUAUUUCAUGUACAUCUUGGAAAAUCACGAAGGCAUUUCAAAUUCAUGGAAUUAUUUAAAAGUUUUGAUCAUUUUCUGAAUUUAAGAACAAUUUUUGAAAUUCAUGAAUAUUUUUUUCAAACUUGCGAACAUUAUUUCGAAAGUAGUGGUUGUUUUCUUUCAAACUAACAAACAUUUAUUGAAAUCAUGAACAUUAUUUGAAUUCAUGAAUAUUUUUUGAAUUCGUGACCAUUUUUUAAACUUGUAAUUAUUUUUUGAAAUUAGUGAACAUUGUUUGAACUCAGGAUUUUUUGAACUUUCAUGAACAUUUUUUUGAAUUCACGAACAUUUUUUGAAAGUCAUAAACAUGUUUGAACUCAUGAAUUUUAUUUUAGAAUUCAUGAACAUUAUUUUGAAUUCAUGAACCUUUUUGCACUUCAUGAUUAUUUUCUGAAUUCAAUAACUUUUGUUGAUUUCAUGAGCAUUUUUUGAAUUCACGAACAUUUUUUUAAAUUCAUGUUUUAUUUGAAUUUCUCAACAUUUUUCAAAUUGGUGAUAAUCUUUUCAAGUAUUCCCUUAGAUCUUAUUAAUUGUUGCUGACUUAGAACAACUUUAGUAGAAAGUUGUAUUAAGUCAGCCACAAUUAAUAUGGAUUAGAGGGAGUACAUUGACAUUUAAAAAAAAUGAAAACUAUUUUUAAAUCCCAAACAAUUUUACCGAAGCAAAAAACAAAAAAANNNNNNNNNNNNNNNNNNNNNNNNNNNNNNNNNNNNNNNNNNNNNNNNNNNNNNNNNNNNNNNNNNNNNNNNNNNNNNNNNNNNNNNNNNNNNNNNNNNNNNNNNNNNNNNNNNNNNNNNNNNNNNNNNNNNNNNNNNNNNNNNNNNNNNNNNNNNNNNNNNNNNNNNNNNNNNNNNNNNNNNNNNNNNNNNNNNNNNNNNNNNNNNNNNNNNNNNNNNNNNNNNNNNNNNNNNNNNNNNNNNNNNNNNNNNNNNNNNNNNNNNNNNNNNNNNNNNNNNNNNNNNNNNNNNNNNNNNNNNNNNNNNNNNNNNNNNNNNNNNNNNNNNNNNNNNNNNNNNNNNNNNNNNNNNNNNNNNNNNNNNNNNNNNNNNNNNNNNNNNNNNNNNNNNNNNNNNNNNNNNNNNNGAUGGUCUUUUCACCCGCGCCCAUACGCGGCUUGCGUACAUAUACGCGCUCCCUAUUUCCUCACAGCGUGUUUUUUUCUCGCGUCGCCGUCAGCUGUUUUUCACUUUCUUUUUAGAAGAAAAAAAGAGUGCAAGUAACAUGACUUGAACUCACAACCUCUUGGUGUAAGGAUGACCACACUAACCAACUAGGACAUCCUAAUGCUUAUAAAUAUUAACUUCUUUUUUUGCUUUCUUCUACUUCAGUUCGUGGCUGGGCCGGCCAUUGUUGAAUCUAUCAUUUCAUCAUUAUUGAAAAAUGAAAAAGAAUAAAAAAUCAAACAAUAAACUGGUCGCUAAUUGAUAUAUUUUCAUUAUUAUUUUCUAUUAAAUAGAUGUUUAUUUAUAAGUGUUCGAUUUUCUUCACUGAGCAUGUUUCCGUUUAAAUGAACAAUAAACGAAGAUUUUGGUUCAAUCAAACAAUGAACGAACAAUUUUCUAUUUAAUAGAUGUUCAGAAAUUUAAUUAUAUUGAUGUCAGAAUUUUUCUAUUUAAACGAAUAAUUUUUUACAUAUAUGUACAUUUUUUUAAAUGCAAAUAUUUGUACUUUAUGGACAAAAUUUUAAAAAUCAAACAUUUUUGGAACUUUUGAGAUUUUUUUAUAUGUGUGAGCAUUUCUUGAAAAAUAAAAAUAAAAUGAAAAAUAAAAAAACGAAUAGAGAAAACAUAAAAGAAAUAGUGAUAAACGGGCUGGUUCAACACAAUGGGCCGGCCCAGCCGCGAACCGUAGUAGAGUAAAAUAAGAAAAAGAAGUAAAUAGGCACAACCCUUAAGGUGUCCUAGAUGGUUAGAGUGGUGGUCCUUAGACCUAGAGAUAUUGAGUUUGAUUCAUGUCGCAUGUGUUAUUUUUCUAAGUUUAAUAAAAAGUUUGUACGAUGCCUCAUACGUGUCACCUAUGCGUAUGAGUAUAUGGUUUGAUGAAAUGACCAUACUGUCCUUAUACGGUUUGUGGAGGGGGAUCCAAAGAAAACUAUGAAAAAUAUAUGUUCAGUUUCUAAAUCCAAUUAAAGACAAAUAAAUGAAAUAGGACAAUGCAUGAAAGAUAUCCGCCAAUCCGCUAGGGUCCAAUCCGCUAAGGUUUCAUUUCACCCCAACAAAAACAUACGGGAGACAUGUGCCUAGGUGUCAAGAGUAAAUAUUGUUUCCAACAAUGCAUGAAACCAACUGUUGGCUUCUACUCCCUCCAUUCCAACGAAUAAGUUAGACACACAUUUUAAAACUAAAGUUUGACAUAAAUUAGACCAAUCAAUUGUGGGUUAUAUGUGACAAAAAAAUACCAUUGGAUUCGUAUUUGAAAAUAGUUUUCAAUGGUAUAAUUUCCAAUUCAUAGAACAUAUAUUAUUGGUUUAAUUUAUGGUCAAAGUAAGAUUUUGGGAUGCUUGUGCGGCUUAUUUUUUUUGGAAUGGAGGGAGUAUGUUGUAUACUUGAGAUUUUUUGUAGUUAAUUUGCUGCAAUCAAUACAGAUUUGUUGUAUACACAAUUUUUUUUGUUGCAUGAAAAUGUUUAAAAUGUUUCUACGUUUUUUUGCAUGUAUUAAACAUAACUUACAAGAAAAAUAUGUCGGCGGUGUUGCAAAUGUGUAAAAAAAUGUUCCGCGCAAGACUUGGCACAACAAUAGUCAGACGGUUAGUAUAUCAUGUUUAAGACGGAUCGUAUGGCAUGGGAGGCAACCGACCAAGGGCUGCCUCCGCUCUGUUGAUACCUAACACACCCCAAAAUUUUAAGGAAACAAUCUAAUUCAGCAGGGCGUUAAAUGUCUCGGGUCGGCCACCUCCAACGUUGGGCACAAGUCCCGUGCACGGUCACAUCAUUCAAGGUGGACACAUCCUUAUAUGUGGCUAGAAGUCUCCCGUCCAGUCAUUUCCUCCGCCCGCGUAGGUUGCCGCUUCUUCCUCUUCCACUUUCUCGUGGCCUAUGGCCAGGCCGAAGUAAUAGAGGCUCGAGGGUUUCAACACCCAGUGCAUCUGCCUCGUACAACUUCUGAGUGCUCCAAGACCUCCCCACAACUCUACAUCCCUGACCUCUUAGUGUUGUAGGUCAUGUGGCAAUGUUGUGAGGGUACCUGCCGAUGCUACAAGGCUGAUGCUUGAUGGAGCUUGAUGCUGCAAUCCCAGGCGCGAGCUACUACAAGAGGCACUACCGGUGCUUGAAGGGUUGUUGUUGAAGGAAAUAUGUCCUAGAGGCAAUAAUAAAGUUAUUUUAUAUUUCCUUAUAUCGUGAUAAAUUUUUAUUAUUCAGGCUAGAAUUGUAUUAACCGGAAACUUGAUACAUGUGUGGAUGCAUAGACAAAACACCGUGUCCCUAGUAAGCCUCUACUAGACUAGCUCAUUAAACAAAGAUGGUUAAGUUUCCUAACCAUAGACAUGUGUUAAACAAAGAUGGUUAAGUUUCCUAACCAUCAUUAGGAGAAUGAUGUGAUGGACAAGACUAGCUUAGCAUAAUGAUCGUUCAGUUUUAGUGCUAUUGCUUUCUUCAUGUCAAAUACAUAUUCCUUCCACUAUGAGAUUAUGCAACUCCCGAAUACCGGAGGAAUGCCUUAUGUGCUAUCAAACGUCACAACGUAACUGGGUGAUUAUAAAGAUGCUCUAUAGGUAUCUCUGAAGGUGUUUGUUGGGGUGACAUAGAUCGAGAUUAGGAUUUGUCACUCAGAGUAUCAGAGAGGUAUCUCUGGGCCCUCUCGGUAAUGCAAUCAUAAGAAGCCUUGCAAGCAAAGUGACUAAUGAGUUAGUUACAAGAUGAUGUAUUACGGAAUGAGUAAAGAGACUUGCCGGUAACGAGAUUGAACUAGGUAUGUGGAUACCGACGAUCGAAUCUCGGGCAAGUAACAUACCGAUGACAAAGGGAAUAACGUAUGUUGUCAUAACGGUUCGACCGAUAAAGAUCUUCGUAGAAUAUGUAGGAGCCAAUAUGAGCAUCCAAGUUCCGCUAUUGGUUAUUGACCGGAGAGGUAUCUUGGUCAUGUCUACAUAGUUCUCGAACCCGUAGGGUCCGCACGCUUAACGUUCGUUGACGAUAUAAUAUUAUAUGAGUUAUGUGAUUUGGUGACCGAAUGUUGUUUGGAGUCCCGGAUGAGAUCACGGACAUGAUGAGGAGUCUCGAAAUGGUCGAGAGGUAAAGAUUGAUAUAUAGGACGAUGGUAUUCGGACACCGGAAGUGUUCCGGAGGGUACCGGGUACUUAUCAGGUCACCGAAAAGGAGUUUCGGGCACCCCCGGCAAAGAUAUUGGCCUUAUGGGCCAAGUGAGGGAACACACCAGCCCUGGUGCGCCCCUAUAGAGGCCAGCCCUAUGAGGAGGAGGAUAAGGAAAGAGGGGAGAGCAAGGAAAGUGUGGAUUAGGAUUCCUACUUCCUUCCCUCUCCCCCCUCUUUCCUUCCCCCUCGGUUAUAUAUGGCAGGGGGGCACGCGGCUUGGGAGGGACUCCAAGUAGGAUUCCUCCUACUUGGGCGCCUCCUAUGGCUGCUCCUCCCUCCCUCCCCCCCCACACACGCGCACACACACACACACGCACGCACACACACNNNNNNNNNNNNNNNNNNNNNNNNNNNNNNNNNNNNNNNNNNNNNNNNNNNNNNNNNNNNNNNNNNNNNNNNNNNNNNNNNNNNNNNNNNNNNNNNNNNNNNNNNNNNNNNNNNNNNNNNNNNNNNNNNNNNNNNNNNNNNNNNNNNNNNNNNNNNNNNNNNNNNNNNNNNNNNNNNNNNNNNNNNNNNNNNNNNNNNNNNNNNNNNNNNNNNNNNNNNNNNNNNNNNNNNNNNNNNNNNNNNNNNNNNNNNNNNNNNNNNNNNNNNNNNNNNNNNNNNNNNNNNNNNNNNNNNNNNNNNNNNNNNNNNNNNNNNNNNNNNNNNNNNNNNNNNNNNNNNNNNNNNNNNNNNNNNNNNNNNNNNNNNNNNNNNNNNNNNNNNNNNNNNNNNNNNNNNNNNNNNNNNNNACACACACACACACACACACACACACACACACACACACACACAUAUAUAUACAGCCUGCCUAUUCUGCUAAUAUUAGCAGAAUAGUUAUUCUACUAACACUUCGGAACUGCACGCUCAAUGGAAGUGCACGUAAUUUUUUGAAGCAAUAGCACUGCAGUACCGAUGCGAGUGCACUUCCCGUCGCAAAAAACUGUACGCGGUAUUUUUUCGGUACCUUUUUCGCUCUAAUUUUUUUAACCGUUUGUCAGAACGAGGCGUGUAAUAUACCCUUGAAAAGCUAUGGAUUAGGCGCAACUUUGCUAUGUUGAAUUGUUUUCAAGAUUCUUCACGGUUUAAGAGCCGUUUUGAAAAUAGUGCGGCGCGCGACGAGUGGCAGCGAGCGUUUUUUUCUAAACAAUUUGUCGGAAUGAAGCAAAUGAUACACGUUGGAAAGAUAUCAUCGAGGGGCAUCUUUUUCAUAUCUAUUAUUUUCUCUAAUUUGUUACGGUUUAAGAGCAGUUUCAAAUUUACAAAAUCGCGGAAUUCUGGUUUUUGAUUUUUUUUAAAUUUUCGAUAGUGUUUUUUCUCCAGUUUUCUAACCGUUUAUCGAAACGAGACGUGUAAUAUACCGUUGAAAAGCUAUGGACGAGGCGCAACUUUCAUAUGUUGAAAUGUUUUUGAGAUUCCUUAAGGUUUUUAGUUAAUUUUGAAAAUCGUGCGGCUGACUACGAGAGGCAGCGGCCGUUUUUCAUGAAAUUUUUGCAAACCGCUUUGUCGAAAUGAUUCAAAUUAUACGUUGUUGGAUAGAUAUUGACGAGACACAACCUUUUCAUGUAGAAUACUCUCUCCAAUUCCUUACGGUUUAAGAGCAAUUUUGAUUUUAACGAAAUGCGGACACUGUUUUUUCGCGACCCAAAAUCGUCGUUUGUACUGCAUCAGACAGAAAACCGCACUGCUUUAGACUAAAAACAACACUUCAUCAGACGGACAAGUGCAUUGCAUCAUUUCUUUUUUUGUGGGACAGAAAUUUUUCCCAAACGAGGUAGCAAACCGCACUGCUUCAGACUAAAAAACACACUACAUCAGAUGGGCAAGUGCACUGCAUCGUUUCUUUUGCCAGACUUAAUUUUUCUCAUGCGAGGAAGUGAAGUGCGCUUCACAUCGUGCGUAAGUGAACCGCGUUACUUUUUGUUCUUGUUUCGGUAACAUUUUUUCUUGCACUUACGAGAUGAACAUCAUGAGACGGCCGUCCGCACUGCUUCAUAUGGAAAACCGCACUACAUUAGAUGGGCAAGCGAACUUCAUUGUUUUUAUGCAUUUUAUUUUAAAUGGAGUGGACAGAAAAGUCCUUCAUAGUGGACUUUUUUAAGACCAAAGUGCACCGCAUUUGCAUAUUUUUUAAAUGUUUUUUGUUCUAAAUGGAGUGUACUGAAUAGUCCUUUCGUAGUGGGCUUCUUUUAGUCCAAAGUGCACCGCAUUUGCAUGUUUUUUAAAUGCAUUUUGUUUUAAAUGGGGUGUACUGAAAAAUCCUUCAUAGUGGACUUUUGUUCUAAAUGAAGUGUACUGAAGAGUCCUUCAUAGCGGACUUUUUUUAAACCAAAGUGCACUGCAUUUGCAUUUUUUUAAAUGCAUUUUGUUUUCAAUGGAGUGUACUGAAAAGUCCUUCGUGGUGGACUUUUUGUAAGACCAAAGUGCACUGCAUUUGCAUUUUUUUAAAUGCACUUUGGUAUAAAUGUAGUAGAAUAGUCCUUCCUAGUGGACCUUUUUUAGACCAAAGUGCACCACAUGAUCGAAAAGAAUGAACCACAAGACCAUGCUUUUUAUGGACCACAAUUUUUUAAACACAAAUCAUGUAUGUGUUCACCGUACAUGGCAACCGAGUUAAUGUAUCCAAACACAAAAAAGACUGCACGCGCCCAAACGGCAAUGCUUUUUGCCCACAACCGCUACCCCUUUUGUGCCGGACUGAACUUUUGUUCACAAGUAUAGUAGAAGUGUUAGUUUCCUUAUAGGAUGCAAAUCUGUACAACUCUCUCUUGAAGACAUCAAAUUCACAAGUGCACUUAUGAACAAGAAAGUUGCCUUCUCGUUUUGCCUCCAUAAUGGAUCAAAGAAGCAGUGCAAAAGCUUGCCAUCUGAAGAAUGCACAGGAGAUACAUCAGCAAGGAACUGCACAACACACUUUUGAAGGAAAAAGAAAUUCAAACCGAACACUCAGCAUCUGGGAACUACACGCGGGGAGAAGGGGCAGCUCGUCGGGGGCCAGAGAUCCGUUGGUGCGGCGCCACGCCGGGGGAGGCCCUCUGCUUGACGAUGGCACGCCUGGGAGGUGGGCUGCAAUGCGGCGAUUUUUGUGCACUGCAUCAGAAAGUGCAGUCCAUGGCGCGGGGGCGAUGGGAUCCGCACGGCUUCACGUGCCUGCACUGCAUGCCGUCGGGCGGCUGGGAACCUCGCAGGGACGCCUGCACGACUAGCCGACGAGGUAGGGGCUCGACAUGGGGAGGGAGGCCGGCCGUCGCGGGGCGGGGCCAUGGCUGUCGAGGCCAGCAAUCACGGGGGCAGCCCGGCUGGAUCCGGAUGCACUGGUGCGAGGGAGGUGGCUCAUCCGCUCGCCGGUGCGGAUUCGGCGCCCGACGGAUCGGGCGGAGGCAGCGCGAUGGAUGGGUGGGGCACAUGGCGGGGCAGUGGCCAUGGCUGGAGCGGGACGGGGUCGGGGCCGUCGCUGGGCGGCGCUGCAGGUCAGAGGCGCGCUGCGGAGAUGCGGGGCGGCGCUGGACGGGAGGAGUAGAAGGUGUGGCGGCUCUGGACGGGAGGAGGACAAGGCGGGGNNNNNNNNNNNNNNNNNNNNNNNNNNNNNNNNNNNNNNNNNNNNNNNNNNNNNNNNNNNNNNNNNNNNNNNNNNNNNNNNNNNNNNNNNNNNNNNNNNNNNNNNNNNNNNNNNNNNNNNNNNNNNNNNNNNNNNNNNNNNNNNNNNNNNNNNNNNNNNNNNNNNNNNNNNNNNNNNNNNNNNNNNNNNNNNNNNNNNNNNNNNNNNNNNNNNNNNNNNNNNNNNNNNNNNNNNNNNNNNNNNNNNNNNNNNNNNNNNNNNNNNNNNNNNNNNNNNNNNNNNNNNNNNNNNNNNNNNNNNNNNNNNNNNNNNNNNNNNNNNNNNNNNNNNNNNNNNNNNNNNNNNNNNNNNNNNNNNNNNNNNNNNNNNNNNNNNNNNNNNNNNNNNNNNNNNNNNNNNNNNNNNNNNNNNNNNNNNNNNNNNNNNNNNNNNNNNNNNNNNNNNNNNNNNNNNNNNNNNNNNNNNNNNNNNNNNNNNNNNNNNNNNNNNNNNNNNNNNNNNNNNNNNNNNNNNNNNNNNNNNNNNNNNNNNNNNNNNNNNNNNNNNNNNNNNNNNNNNNNNNNNNNNNNNNNNNNNNNNNNNNNNNNNNNNNNNNNNNNNNNNNNNNNNNNNNNNNNNNNNNNNNNNNNNNNNNNNNNNNNNNNNNNNNNNNNNNNNNNNNNNNNNNNNNNNNNNNNNNNNNNNNNNNNNNNNNNNNNNNNNNNNNNNNNNNNNNNNNNNNNNNNNNNNNNCCCGACAGGAUCCACCUAAUUCCCCGAUCCCGAGCCGACCAACCCCCCUCCUUGCCGCUCCUUCCCUCGAUCCCCGACCUCCCCCCUCGUUUGCCGCCGAUCUUCGCCGGAUCCGCCGCCUCCCCUCCGUCUCCAGCUCCUGGUUGACCGAAUCCGCCGCCACACCUCCGUCCCACCUCCUGGCCGACCACCGGCGCGAGCGAGCGAGCGACGGCGGACGCUGGCGCGAGGGAGCCCGCGUCGCCUAGACGCGGCGAAGCCGCCACGGACUUCCGGAAGCCGCAUCCUCCUUCCAUCCUCACCACCCGACGUCUUGGCAGAGCAGAUGACGGCCCUGACGCAAGCUAUGGCGAAUGGCGCGGCCAACGGAGCAACUCCUCAGCGGAGGCGGCAUCGGCGGCGCCUUCAAAUCCAACAACAGUACAUGAACUUCCUCCCACUUGUUGCCUUCUUCUUCAAUCUUGCCUUGCCUAACCUUCUUGCUUCGUGUAGAUGAACUUCGUGCCCUCUGCAAGACAUGGAUUUCCGUGGAAUUCCUCUCCUACCUCCAUGACGAAUUGCUCUCAAGGUGGCCUAUCAGUUGCUAGAAAAAGGUUGGCCGGACUUCUAGCCAGGGUAUGGUUGAACUUCUUCCUUCUGUUUGUUAUUUUCUUACAGCCAUGUGAAGUUCAGGUAGGUUGUGAGCCUCAGUCCAGGCUGCAAAACAUUUGGAAAAUCUGCCUGCUUACAGCCAUGUGAAGUUCAGGUAGUUUGUGAGCCUCAGUCCAGGCUACAAACAUCAUUUUAAAAUCUGCCUGCUUAGAGCCAUGUGAAGUUCUGGUAGUGUGUGAGCCUCAGUCCAGGCUACAAACAGUAGAAAAUCUGCUUGUGAAAUCUGCCUGCUUUUCACAUUCACAUGUGAAAAGCCAUGUGAAGUUCAACUAUUAAGUGUGCCAGAGUUCAGGUUGGUAUGUAUCUAGUUCUGUGCAAAAAAAUAAAUAAAAGGAAAAUAGAACAUGCAUGUGAUCUCACAUGAAGGUCACGUUGGUAUGCACUAGUGGUUCAACCAUUCAAACUCAUGAAGGUUUAGGUUUUUUAACUUUAGACAAUAUUUCCCCUUUGCAAAACAAGAAGUUCAUGUUGUGGAGAGUGCUCAGUUCAGGUACAUAUAAGUAAUCAAAUAGUGUAGAAUUAACAGAAUGUGAGGUUCAUUCUAUGAAGGGUGCUCAGUUCAGGUACAAAAGUAUUGGCAGAUGCUCAGCUCAGUGCAGAGUGUGAUGCCUAUCCUAGGGGAAAAAUAUGUACAUGAACACCACUUUUAUAUGAGAAGUUCAGGCUGUGAAUAAUGCUAAGUUCAGUUACAAAGGUAUAGGCAGAUGUAACUUGUGUGCUAAUAAACAUUUUUUUCUUUUGUGUCAGCAAGACGAGAGACGUAUGAAGAAGCUUAGAAGUUCCCAGCAGAAAGUACACAAUCCUAACUUCCUCAAAAAAAAGUACACAAUCCUAAGCCUGUACGCGUUGCACCACCCCCUCAAUGGGUCACACCUCAAACGCACCAACAACAUUGCCAACCUGCUCUAGACCAAAAAUGGAUGACAUCCGAAACACAUGGAGACUUCCAAGAUGCUGGGUCGCAGCCCUAUCCGCACAACUUUGCGCCUCCACCUAAUUGGGUGACGCUGGAAAUCCCCCACGGAUUCUUUGUAUCACCAGCAGACUCCCAAGCACGCUGAUGGAGGAGGGGGUUAGCUCAAGUCCUGCGUGUAACUCUGGAGGUUAUCCUAGUGUGCCUCAUCAAUGCCAAAGGGAAGCAACUAAACCGGAUCCCAGGACAAAUCCAACAGGAACACACACACGGAGGAGAGUGCUCUGCACACUACAACCGUUGGAUCCUGCUGCUGCUGCUACAAGUCAGAAUUGUACGGGACAUAAGGUAGAUGGAUUGCAUCACAAAACAAAAGAGCAAACCAAGACCAGGAUCGCAAUACCUCCACAACCACCUCAAGCAAAAAAGGACGCAAACAAGAGAGAGGCCAUCUUCAGCCCUCCUUCCUCCUCGUGAUCCACUCCUGCAUCCUGCUAUGAUUACUCCGCCGUGCCCCAUCCCAGAGGGACACCAGCAGACUCCGGUGGAGUUGCGAUCAUACACGCACGUAAGUGAAACAAAAUAUUUAUAUACACAUCUUGUAUUAUCUGCAAAUUUUCUGCUCCCUCCAGGAUAACAAGUUCAUAAACUGCAUUUUAACGUGCCGUUUGGAUUUCUUUUUCUUUUUCUGCAGAUGCCGGAUCUCCCGGUUUAUCUAAUACCAAGACUAAAGAUGCGAUUCUGAGAUGUAGAGAAAGCAAGGGAAUUUUAUAACAGAUACGCCAGACACGCUGGUUUUGGAAUCAGGAAGACGGGAGGGAAUGACAAUCACAAGUAUUUUGUUUGUGGGGUCCAAGGGAAACACACAACUUCUGUUUCAGAGGCUGACAGGCAGCGAAACAAAACAUCACAGAGGACAGGCUGCAAUGCAAGAAUGAGGGUGAAGGUCCAGGAGGAUAACACAUGCGUGGCAGUGGACAUUGAGUACAAUCAUAAUCACCAACUCAUGCAAACUGAUGACAUGCUGGUAUUCUUGCACUCACACAAGAAUUAUGACCCCACUAUUUUGGAGUACGUAAAGCUCCUGCAGUACCACGAUGUCAAGCACACAACAAUCAUGUCCAUGCUAUCUGAAAAUGAAGACGAAAGCUACUUCCUAAGCAUGACCGGACGAGACCUACUAAACCAGUAAGUAUUCAAACAUGCACAUACUGCAAUGUACAUAGCAUCCUAAGUCACAACCUUUUGCUAGCAAAAAUAACAAAUGCAUGUUUGCAUGUAAUUUGUAGGAAAGCCAUGAAUGCAAGGAAAGAUGAUUUGGAUGAUGUAUUGAAACUUAUAUCAUUCUUCAAAGACAUGAAGGCAAUCAAUGAUGAGUUUUUCUAUGACAUAGAAGUAGACAAGGACAAGUCAAUUAAAAACAUUUUCUGGUCCAAUGCAAGCUGCCGUGGAGCGUAUCAAGACUUUGGCGAUUGCGUAACAUUCGACACAACUUACAAGACCAACAGAUUUCAUAUGCCUCUGGGAGUGUUUGUUGGAACAAACCAUCACUUGCAGUCAACAAUAUUUGUUGUUGCCCUGAUCAGAGACAAAGAUGCAAAGUCAUUCAAGUGGCUGCUCGAUACAUUUGUACGGUGCAUGAACAACAAGCACCCAACUUGCAUUCUAACAGGUGAGUUAAAAAAAACUCUACAAGUUUCAUCAUCUUUUCAGUCUAUGGGUCUGUAUUGGGUAUAUUUGGUUUUAUUUGAAAAUAAUGUAAAGCAAGCAGUUCAACCACUGUUAGCACAGAAGUCCAACAAACAGUACAAGAAAGCAAAAUUAUCUGUCACAUGUUUAGAAAAAAAUUAGUUAUGAAUGUGAAGUUCAAAUACAGGAAUCAUAGAAGUUCAAGGACAAAGCUGUAAGAAAAAUAUAUGUAACAUGUUCAAAAAAAUAUAGUUAUUUAUGUGAAUUUCAAGCACCGGUACCACAUAAGUUCAACAACACUGCUGUAAGAAAAUUUUGUGUGUGACACUAUUAGGUAGUCCUACUGCUACCUGUGAAGUUCAAGAACUGGUACCACAGAAGUUCAACAACACUGCUAUAAGAAAAAAUACAUGUGACAUUUUUAGAUAGUCAUACUGCUACCUGUGAACUUCAAGCACUGGUACAACAUAAGUUCACCAUCAGUGCAAAAAGAAGCAAGUUUCAUUUUUUUAAUUCAUGCAGACCAGUGCCCGUCGAUGGCGAAAGCUAUACCACAAUCAUUCCCAAACACUGUCCACAAGCUAUGCCGUUGGCACAUCUUGAAGAAGUACAGGGAAUACCUCACGUUGCUGUACAAAAAGUAUAAAACAUUCAAAGAGGAGUUCACAGCUAUAUUAAACUGGCCGCUGAUGCCAACGGAGUUUCAAGCUGCCUGGGCUGAACUCGUGCACAAGUACAACCUAGAGAACGACCAGAUGAUGAUCCAGCUGUGGAGUGAUAGGAAAAUGUGGAUUUUAACAUAUUACAAGAACAUUUUCUGUGCUACAAUGACUUCCACACAACGAAGCGAGAGCAUGAACCACGUGUUCAAGAAAGGGUUUGUCAAGGGGACCCAGAACCUACACAAGUUUGCUAGGCGGGUAAAUGCUUGCAUACAAACUCAGAUGCAGAAGGAGAACGAGCAAACAAUGACCAACAUGGUAUGAAGACAAAAAAAUACCCCCAUCAUAUUGUGUUUUGCUUCAACAUGUGCACUUUGAAUUUUAAAAAAUGAAACCCAUGACUCUGCUUCGACUAAUAUCUUAUUUUUUGACAUGUGCAGACCAAUCCUGUUGACAAAAACAACUUACGGCUACGAGGAAGACAUGUCUAUCAAGUACACGAGAGUCGUGUACACGGAGAUGAGGACUAGGAUGAGAAAAGCCAUGCUAUUUCGCACAAAGCCUACAACAGAGCCUACUAAGUACCUUGUGUACUACCACAACAAGGCUGGCCAUGAUGAUGAAGAAAGAUUUUCCUGGUCAAAACAUGAAUUCCAGGUGGUAGCUGACCCAGAGAAUGAAAUAUACGAGUGUGAAUGCAAGCUUUGGACACACACAGGUGAGCGAAAAAAACUCAUUAAAUAGCUAAACUAGUAGUAUCAUAUCAAAAUAUAUGAAACUCAUUGCUGGCUCACAAACUAUGUAUUCUGCAUUCAUCACAAAAUGCAGGCCUGUUCUGCCUUCACAUCAUGAACAUACUGGACUACCUGAAGCCUGACAAAUUUCCACACAAGUAUAUCCUCAAACGGUACACAAAGACUGUAAAAUCACAACCAAUCUUUGAUACAAGGGACUACAACACAACUGCAUCAGAUGGCAGCUCAAGACUAUCGAAGCAAGACAUCUUGCUGCAGCUAAAUUUGAUGGUUAACAAGAAAGCGAUGAGAUGUGACCAGCAAUAUGACAGAGCCUUCUAUGUUCUCAAGAGGCUCGUGGAAGAGCUUGAUGCAAUACAUUCAGCAAAUCGAGCGGAUGCUGAUGAAAGGAUGGCUGAAGAGGAUGCUGAAAUUGAAGAUGACCUUCAUUAUUAUGCAGCUGAAAUGCUCCACGCCGCUGCUCAAGCCGACCAAUGCAAGCAGGGUGUUGACCAAUUAAUGCAGCAGCGACAUCAAGAGACGAUGAAACUGUCGCUGUACUCUGAAACAAAGGGUAGGAAGAAAAUUUCUGCAGCAAAGAAAAGUGACAAGAGAGCUCAAAUAAAGGCACCACCUGCAGGAUGAGUCGUCGUGCUCGAUGAGAACAGAGUGCCACUUGGACACAUGCAAUUUAGUGUGUGCAAAAAGGUUACAGGACACAACAAGCUCACCUGUCCAACACUCUUAGAAAGAAACAAUGCCGAGGAGGUCAAGCAACCCAAAGUUCAAAAACAGCAACCCAAAGUUAUAGAACAAAAGAAAGGACCACACCCACAGAAAGCAAGCAGCAGACUUUGUAGCAUAUGCAAGGAGUAUGAACCACAUAAUGCAAGAACAUGCCCGAAGCGUGCAGAUGCUGAAAAGACAAGCAAAAAGCCAGAGAAGAAACAGAAAGCAAAACCUAGAGCCAGCAAAAAGAAAGUGGUGGAAGAUGAAGACACCAUUGAAGAAGAGGAAGACGAAGAGGAAGUGGAAUGCGAGGAGGAAGAGGAAGAGGAUGAUGAAGAGGAAGAGGACAAUGAAGAGGAAGAGAAAGAGGAAGAUGAACAGGAGGUACAUGUCAAGCAAAAACCACUACAACCAAAGCCUAGGAGGAGCGCAAGGCUGAUGAACAGUUAGAUUAGGUCAAUUAAACAAAGCAAACUUAUGUCAUGUCAAUGUGCAGAAUAUUAUUCCACUUUUGAAAUAGUAUUUUAGGAGAAGCUUACUUGAAUUUUUAUUGUUGAAGUUUCAAAGAAAUUAUAGAGUAGAAGUUCAAGUAAACUUACUGCAGAAGUACUAGUAUAAUAUAAGAGGGGGUGCUGGUGAUGCAAAGUAUGAAAGAGCAAGCAGUAAUAAAAUGAAAAAUAUACAAUGUGAAGUUCAAGUAAUAUUACUGCAGAAGUCCUGCUAUAUUAUGGCAGGAAGUGCUGUGCUGGUGAUGUAUUGCAUGAAAGAGCAAGCAGUAAUAAAAAUGAAAAAUAUACACUAUGAAGUUCAAGUAAUAUUACUGCAGAAGUCCUGCUAUAUUAUGAGAGGAAGUGCUGUGCUGGUGAUGUAUUCCAUGCAAAGUGCAAGCAAGAAUAAAAAUGAGAAAUAUACACUAUGAAGUUCAAGUAACAUUACAGUGGAAGUUCUGGUAUAUUAUGGCAGGAGGUGCUGGUGUUGUAUUCCAUAAAAGAGCAACCAGCAAAUAAUUAUGCAGUUUGAAGUUCAGGUCAGCUUACAGAAGAAGUUCCGAUAUAUAAAAUUGAUGUAGGAACAAAAUAUGCUUAAAAAAUAAAGUUUUGCCGUAUGAACAAAGGUUAGCAAGCCUAAGACAACACGUUCAGAUAUGAAGUUCUGUUUGGAUACGUGCAGAAGUUCAUGUACAAUGCCGACAAAACAUAAAGAAAUGUUAAGGAGUGUAUGAGAAUAUUUUUGCACAAAGUUAUAGUUGAAAUCCAUUCGCAGUUGAAAAAUCACAAAAAAGAAAUAUAGAUUCUAUGCAAAAGGCUACGUAUUGGUUGGGUUGAAAAAUAACAAUACAUUACACAACACAGAAAAUCCUCUCCAUCUGAAACCAGCAGCCCAGCCAGAUCUCAAGCAGAAGUUCAGAUCAAAGAUCAUAUGCUGGGGCCCAAAAUUAAACAACACAAAAAACAAGCAGUUCAACCGUAACCCAGGGAGAAGUUCAGCUACAUCUGUUGGGGAAAAAACAUACAUUACAUGGAUACUGAAAACGAUGGAGUACAUUGAAAUUCACAAGCCAAAUCAUUCUUCGCACUAAAUACAUUUGUCUGCAAUAUCAUAAGUAAUAGUGUUGCAGCUAUAGAUACACAAAUCACUAAACCAUUCUUACAACCAAAUCUUUACAGAAUCGUUCGAAUCAUUAUCAAACCUAAAAUCUGUACGAAAUAAAAUCUACACUGAAACUAAUGCUUCGAAUUCACGGGCCCAAGGACUGGAUCUCUUUAGGAAGCUCUACACGCAUGACUUCAUUCUUCUCGCUAAAGAUUAGAGUGUGCAUGAACUCGGCCUUCCAGUCAUCUGCAGCAGCCUGCAAACAAGAAAUGAAAUGAUGGUUUAGUAAUGGAUAACUAAAACCACAGCAGGAUCGUCUCAGCAAAAACACACAAGAAAAAUGAAAGGAUGAUGAGACAAGAACAAGGAAAAAACAUACUUCCACAUCACCAAAAUCUUCAACAAGCUCAUCGCCAUCAUAUGAAGAGCAGAACUUCAUGGCAAAGAAACCACAAUCAUUAUUCUUUUGCUUUGGAACAUCGAUAAAAGUCGGCCUCUUUGCAAUAGUCACCCAGUUAGGCUGCUUGCUCGCUUUGUACGCAGCCUUGCCGUACACCUCCUCGAGCAACCCAACAAAUCUCUUGAUCUGCCAAAAAUAACAAAUAAGAUGAAGUCAAAAACAUGUUAACCAAAAUAGUUAAGUUCAGGUACAUAAAAAGCGACACUUGCAUAAGAUCCAGCUAAACAAAUAGCAGAAGUUCAAUUGUCAAAUGAUAGUCAGUUCAAGUAGUAUUACCACAAUAGAGAUAGAAACAUAUUUUCUCAACAGAAGGCAUAAUAAACUUCAUGUCAAACAAGAGAAUAUGAAAGGAGGUUUAGGCUAAGAAACACUCACGAUAUUUUGGCAGUCUCCGUGGAAACUUGUUCGUGACAUUCCCUUAUCAGUGUAAGGAAGUGAAUCAAGGAUGUCAAUGCUCCCACGAUAUCUAUUCAGCACAUACACACUGUAGUGCGCCAUUGUGUCAAUUGGCUUGAAUAGUAUUAAAAAACCUGCCAAGAAUGAAAGAAACGGUGAACACAAACUAUAAAGCAUAGAUAUUGAACAACCGGGAUGAACAAAAACUUCUUGACAAACUCAACAAAAGGAUGUAAAUAAAAUUUAAAAAAGUAAGAGUUAUGAAAACCUAACCAGCUUUGCGUUAAGAAGGUCUUCUUCCUUGCUAACAAACAUUCGAAGGAGAUUAGCAGAUUUUUUUGUAUCGAACUUUGGAACUGUUGCAACGAAGAAAUCAUACUCCAGGCAGUACUGUGCAUUCACAAAAACACAAAUAAAACACCUCCCAAAUGCCACUACAACAAAACUAGAGCAAAAAAAGGGAGAUAGGGGUGCAAAGAACUAAAACAUGUAUGAAGUAGGGACUAAGUACAACCAUGUCAGCACUAGUGAAUAUCUCAGAGGUCUCCGGCUUAUCCUUCCACAAAUUUAUGAGAUAAUCCAUUAUGUCUCCUUCCAUCUGCUGCCCUUCACCGAAAAGAGUAUAAAGGACACGUUAUGUGAGGUCGAUCACAUUCCCAAGGAUGGUAAACAUGCAGUAGCUUGUGCUGCAGAUUUAAAAGGAUGGGGAAAAAUAUUAGAAGUUCAGAUACAAUAACAAACAGAAGUUCAGAUACUAUAACUCAAAGGCAAUAGAGAUGAACGGAAGUUCGGAUACUAUAACAACAGAAGUUCGGACACUAUAACUCCAAGGCAAGGGAGAAAUGAACAGAAGUCCACAUACUACAACAACAAAAGUUCAGAACAAAGUAGCAUCCACUACAAAAAAAGACACAUCCGUGACAUUUUGGGCCGAACGAAAAUCUUUUCUGUCAUACUUAUGACACUUUUAUGAUGAUAAUUGUGACAAAACCCGGUAUCAUCAUAGAUGUGGUGGGGUCCUACUUCUAUGACAAAAAAUCAUGACAAAAAAUGGGCUUUUCGUCCUGGGCGGGCCGGAGACGCAGCUGCAUGACAUUCUUUGGGCCGUCCAUGACGGAAAAAACCGUGGUAGAAGCGAGGGCGCGGAAAAUAUCGAGGAGUCCCUGGUUACGGUGGGUGGUCGGGGGCCGAGCGAUGCGCGUUUGUCUCGUACGUAUGCGCGUGUGUGCAAGGCGUUGGGCUCUAACUAAUCCCGAGCGAGGCAUUGGGCUCUAACUGAACCCGAGCGAUUGCACUACAGGCUACGCGUUACUGAACCCGAGCGAUCGAUCGAUGGCUGUUAACUGAACCCGAUCGAGCGAUUCCUUCGCUACUGCAGCUAACUGAAGUCGAUCGAUGCUGCCUCUGGAUGAACAGUGAGCGUUGCUGGGGGGUUUGGAUGAACAGUUCCCGGUGGGGGUGGAUGAACAGGAGCCCGUGGCGUUGCCUCUGGAUGAACAGUGAGCAUUCCUGGGGGGUUCGGAUGAACAGUUCUCGGUGGGGGUGGAUGAACAGGACCCCGAUCGUUCGAGCCGGUUGGGGCUGGAUGAACAGGACCCCGUGGAGGGCAGGAUGAACAGGACCACCCCGUGGAGGGCAGGAUGAACAAUAGACGGUGGAGGGCUGGAUGAACAGUAGCCCGUGGACGGGUGGUUGAACAGGAGCCCGUGGAGAGGGCUGGUUGAACAGUAGGCGGUGGAGUAGCGCGCGGUGGAGGCUGGAUGAACAGGAGCCCAUGGAUGAACAGUCGCAGGUGGAGGCUGGAGGAGGUCGACGGUGGAUGAACAGUAGCCCGUGGAGGCUGGAGGGGGUCGACGGUGGAGAUGAACAGUAUCCCGUGGAGUCCCGUUUGCGGUACGCCACACCCCUCCCGAUGAACAAGACCCCCGUUUCGACCGUAGCGCUCCAACACAAGUCCGUUUCCUCCGUUUUGCGGUACGCCACACCCCUCCCGAUCAACAGGACCCCCGUUUCGACCGUAGGAGGUCCGUUUCCUCCGUUUUGUGGUACGCCAGACCCCUCCCGAUGAACAGGAUCCCGUUUCGAACGUGGCCGGUCGAACACAAGGCUGUUUCCUCCGUUCUGCGGUACGCCAGGCCUCGUUUCCAUCGGCUGUUCCGUCCAAGCCCUCCCGAUGAACACGACGACGCAUUCUGUUCUGACCCAGCCAGUUGGCUCUCCAUGAACAUGACGACGACGCUGUUUCUCCGUUCCGACCCAGCCAUGUACACGAGCCCUGGCCGUACGUAUGCGCGACUAGGCAUUCGAGACCCUGCCCAUAUGUACGUACGUGGCCGUAUUUUCUUUCUUGCACACUGGCCGCUGUACGUACGUGUACAUGCCAUGUGCGCGCCUCUACUACGACACGUGCGCGCCUCUACAUCGACCAGUAUGUACGUACAUGUUCGCGACCAGAAUGACAACGCUACGUACGCUUCGACCAGGUGGGUCCCGACUGUCAGGCACUUCCUUGCGUGCGAAGAUGUAGCUGGUGGGUCCCAGCAGUCAGGGGGGCGAAUCGUUUUUUUGCCCGGACGCACUUCCUUGCGUGCGAAGAUGUAGCUGGUAGGUCCCAGCAGUCAGGGGGAAACGUUUUUUUUCGCGAAAUACAGUUGCCCGUCUGGUGGGUCCCUGCUGUCAGGUGGAGGAAUAAUUAUUUAGCGCGUAAUAAGGAGGCACUUCCUUGCGGCCGCCGUGGACCCAGCUGUCAGCCUCUCCACGUACAGUACUCUUCCGAUGGAAGUCGUUCCUUGACCACGUUGACCACGCCGCGCCGAGAGCACCAGGGCGGUGGACGACGGUGAGGCCUAGGAAGGGGACGACGCGGAGCCGGGGAAGACGCGGCAGUGGAAGCCCGCGCGGAGAGGAGUACGAGGGUUCACUGGUUCGGCUGUGGUGUGAGGCUGCCGUCGCCGCAGGGCCUGGCCAUCGGUAGGAAUAGUAGGAGGUGGUGAGGCCUCCGCGGUAGCACAGCCGGCCACGGGAGGCAGGAGCAUGCGGCACGGCCGGCGCUGCUUUGGGCGGCUGGAGCAACAAGACCAGAGGUUGAAGAAGCACUACGACCAUUGGAUGGACAUCGUACGGUCACUGGAGCUAGAAUCGUUCAUAUUGACUAAGUUGACAAAGCACUCCGUCCCCGUCAACUUAGUAGGCCCACAAGUCAGCUUCCGAAACGGUGCGCCCAGAUGUCAGGGGGAGGAAUCAUUUUUUGGGCGGGUGAAGCUAGAAUAUCCGAGAUUGAAGAAGAAGCAAGGCAUCCGUUGGAUGGACAUCCAACGGCCACUGCUACUAGAACCGUGUGUCGACUAUAAGUUGACAAAGCCUUGCAUACGCGUCAACUCUCUUUUUUAGGGGACGCGUCAACUUAGUAAGGCCACAAGUGUGUGGCAGAGAACUUAUAGCCCAUUUGUGAUUUGUAAGAAUGUGCAGCCAAUUUUUGAAUUCUAAUGGAAUUUACUACAGCCCAUUUACAGUUUGUUAAAAGUACAGCCCAUUUCAACCAACCGUUCAAAACAGAAUUCAAUAAAAUUUCCCACAUUUUGAUGGGAUCCGAAAUAUUUUUAUCCCGAAAUUUCUAGUCAGAUUAAAUACAAUUUCAAUAUAAAUUUAUAUUACAUAAAAAUCCAACGAAACAUUGCGCACGCAACAAUUAAUGAAAUUAAAAUUUUCAAUAUCCAAAAAUAAUAUUUUAUAAAGUAAUUACGUGUUUGGUGCAUUUUUUAUAGUUACUGUCCAGUUUUUAUAAUUACAUCCCAUUUAUUAUUUCUUAAAGCCCAUUUUCUUGUUACGCCUAAUGCAUCCCUCCUAGGAAAGAUUUGCAGCCCAGCGGGGCGGAGAAUAACAACUUGACCUUGCCUGGGUAUUCCUAAAAAAAGUAUAGCUAGGCUAGCCAUUUUCAGCUUGAAAAAAAUUAAUAUCUGGGCUGGAUAUCUGGCCUGGGCUAGACGGGCCACAGCCCGGCCAGUUAAUAGCUGCAGCGAUGUUUUCGUUGUUGUUCAGAUGAGAAAAAUUAAUAUCUGGGCUAAACAUUGCUCAAGAAAAACUCUGCAGUGCUCACACCUCAAAAACACAAAUACUGCUCGAGAUGCUUGGUCCCAGCUGUCGGCCGCUUCUUGUGCAAUUCUCUCAUUUAUUGACUACAUAGGUUCACAAUGGUGUGGGACCGUGAUGUCAGGAAACCAGGAGGAAGCAAUUUUUUUUAUAGUUUUAUAUACUAAUAAGGAGGCACUUGCUGUCAUCCUCUCCAAGUAAAGUCAUCUCCUCAUCCUCAUGUCCGUUGACCAUGUUGACAACGCGAGACGGCGGCGCCACGGUGAGCGCAACAACUCGAAGGACGACGGAGAGGGCCUCGCGGGCCCUACGGAUGGUCUGAUACAGCGCCCGCUGCUCAUUCAGGAAGCCAGGAUCAUAGGGCCACAUGUCCGUGACGGCAUUGUCGUUCGCUUGUUCACCGGUGCUCGUUGAGGAGACGGAGGUUGCAGCACAGGUCCUCCUGCGCUGGUAGCUCUUCCGCCAUUAGGGCGUCGAAGUGCGGCCGCACCUGCUCUAUGGUGAACACGGCAUGAACCGGCUUGGACAGUGGCGCCGGCUCCUGGUCGGAAGCUACGUCCAUUGUCUGAUUGUCGUUGCUCAGCUCGACGAGGUAGCUGGCGAGCCAACAUGUCCGGCUGCUGGACCGACCCGCUGCCAAGGACGAGUCUGAUUGCCCUGGCCCACCCAGACCGCCUCCCUCGCCCGCGCGCGCUUUUCGCCCGAAACGGUCGGCGCCGCCCGCCCCGCUUCCCGGUGCAUGCGAUUGCUCCGCCUUCAAACGACACAAGUGCUGUCCGUCCGUCCUUAUGCCGCCCACAUUAAUGAUAUGCGGUUGCCGAGGCGGCUACUAUGGCGCCACACGUCCGUCCCUCCGCCGCCCACCAUUGCUAUAUAUACUGCUGCGCCGGCCAUAGCCGCAGUCAUCCGCAUUCGUUCCUAUUCUCCUGUCCACACCACUACUGCCCACCAUGGCUUCCUCGCGCUCUAGCGCUCUUCGGGACGGGCGGACGACGGACCACAAGGAGAUGGCAGCCAUUGCUGCCGACUGGCUGGCCGGCAGGCAGCCGGAGGACGACAACGUCCCAAUGGAGAACAUGGUAGUCGACGAUCCGGCGCCAACCCCCUAAUCCGCGCCAUCCUCGCCGGUGCAUUGCACAUGACCAUCGGCGAGGCCCGUGCCCAAUAUAUGGACCCGGUGAGGCAGAAGCGUGAGGAGCAGUUCCAGGAGGCACAGGCCGACGCCGCCUACAACCACCAUCUCCUCCAGGAGCACCUUCAGGCGGAGGAGCAGAUUGCCGCGGAGCAGGAGGCGCUGCUCGACUCGUACCGCUCCGCCCGCGAGGGCCGCCUCGAGCGCUAGCGGUAUCACAUGCAGGUGGCGGAGGCUGCGGCCGCCUACAAAGAGGGCGAUGAAGCGGCCGAGGCGCUGUUUGGCGAGACCGAGGACGAGGCAGAGGACAAUGACGGCUCCAACGAGUCCCCGCUCCGCUGGCGUCGACGAGGCCCUGCUCUGCCGAGGCCCCGCGGCGCCAACAACGAGGCAGAGGACACCGCCGGCUCCGCCGAGGCCCCACCCUGCUGGCAACAAGGGGGAGGAUUUUCCCCCGCUCCGCUGAGGCGCCGCCCGCCGGCAACGAGACAAAGGACAUCGCCGGCUCCGCCGAGGCCCCGCCCUGCUGCCAACGAGGCCGCGCCACAUAGAAAACAAGGAAGGGUAGAACACGGUAGGUCGCCGCCGCUCGGGUCCAAGUAAGGCCACCGCUGCUACCCUCCGGUUGCUGGCACUGAGCUGUACAUCAUGGUGCAAUUCUAUGGUUAUAGGCUGAUUGAAGAGCGCUCCGUGGUUGAGCAAGCUCAUGAGAUACAGUCAUUUGCUAGAGAACUUGAGCACUUCAGUUGUAUGCUAUCGGACAAUGUGCGAAGUAAAAAGGAAUAGAAGGAGUACAAAGAGUUUGAGCAGCUUUUUAGCAUUCCUGUACAUUGCAAUCACAUCGAUUCACAUGUCAUAGAGAACAUUCAAAACAAUCGAUGAUUAUGCAUCUCAGCGAUUCACAUGUCAGAGCCAAUAUUUACUUCACAACUAAAGAAUAAAGAAAAAAAUGGAUCGACGCUGUUGACAGCAAAGGGCGUCCCAUUCAAAAAUAUGAAACGCAUGUCUUCUUGCUAAAAUCAAUGAGCAAAAUUUGACAAGGUUUUCCCAUUCCAAAAUAUCAAAUGCCUAUGAUUGUGGAAUGGGCAGGGUUUGCCAUUGAAAGUGCUAGUUAUCGACUAGAGGGGGGGGGGGUGAAUAGGCGAUUUUUAUCAAAGUCUUAAAAACAUGAGAGUUUCGAAGACAAACAAUAGAAAUGAAUCUAUUCAUAUGCAGCGGAAGGUAGACUACACUAGGCAGGCCAUAGUCAAGUAUUCAAUGAAGUGAAAGCACGAAGACUAAUAGCAGCUAGGUAGUAAAGAUCAGGAUGGAAGAUAGUAUGAAGCCAAACAACAAUAGAAGUCAAACAGGUAACACAGGCAGGCAAUGACUUCACGAAGACAAACUGUAAAUAAAGAGAGGGAGAGGAUAGAACCAGUCGCUUGGUGAGGACAAGGAUUUGUUGCACCAGUUCCAGUUGCUGGGACAACUGUACGUGUGGUUAGGGAGGCUGAGAUUUAACUCAGAAGACCGUGUCUUCACCUUAUUCUCCUUGAGCUAAGGACACCCAGUCCUCGCCCAAUCACUCUGGUAAGUCUUCAAGGUAGACUUCCAAACCUUCACAGACUUCGUUCACCGGUGAUCCACAAUGACUCUUGGAUGCUCAGAACGCGACGCCUAACCGGCUGGAGGAUUCACAGUCCUCAAGUGUAACAAGUCUUCAGGUCACGCAGACAGAAAGACUUCAGUGAAGCCUAACACUCUUUGGCUCUCGGUGUUUGGGCUUUGUCCUCGCAAGGAUUUCUCUCUCUCAGAAGCUUCGGAGGUGGGUUGCUCUCAAACGACAAAAGCCAUGCACUAACUCUGAGCAGCCACCAAUUUAUGGUGUAGGGGGUGGGCUAUAUAUAGCCACUAGGCAACCCGACCUGAUUUGUCUGAAAUGACCCUGGGUCAUUAAGGAUUUGACACGUGUUCCAACGGUCAGAUUUCAAACACACGCGGCAGCUUGACUUGGGCUACAAGUAAAGCUGACUCAUCCAACUCUGGAUAAGAUUUGCUCUCAUUGUCUUCGCUCGAAGACAUAGGAUUUGGUUGAGCAUCACUUCAGUCACUCUAACUUUGUUCACUUGGACCCCACUUAAUAGUACGGUGGUUCCUAUGACUCAACAAAGAAGAAAAUGAAACAACGAAACAACUAUGUCUUCGCGCUUCAAAGUCUUCACGCGAUGUCUUCUUAUGUCAUAGUCUUCAAUGUGAAUAUCUUCACAUACCACCAUUGUCUUCAAUGUCUUCACACAUUUUUAGGGGUCAUCUCCGGUAGGUAAACAGAAUCAAUGAGGGACUACUACCUGUGUUAUCCUGCAAUUCUCACAAACACAUUAGUCCCUCAACCAGGUUUGUCGUCAAUACUCCAAAACCAACUAGGGGUGGCACUAGAUGCACUUACAAUCUCCCCCUUUUUGGUGAUUGAUGACAAACUGGUUGAAGUUUUCAACGGGGAUAAAAGUAUGUGAAAUUGUAGAGGUUAAAGGUAUUGUCUUCAUAAGUAGCAACAGGCUCCCCCUGAAGAUGUGCAUAUAAGUAAUUUGCUUUUGGAAUGCAAAUGCACAUGGCAGGUUGUACUUGUGGAGAUCCUCUUCGACUUAUGAAGAUAAUUGAUCAUGCAUGAUAAGAUAUAACUAAGAUAAUGAAAUGCAUAAUAAAAAAUGGACGUCUGCAAUAUGACUUCGUGCGGGAUUUAUCAUCGCACAUGCGGAAUUUAUCAUCGCAUCACAGAAAAGCGAACAAGUAGCAGACGACCAUCAAGUUUAAGUGUUACAACUCAAAGAACCAAAUGUAUCGAAAGUGAGAGUUGUAAACACUAGGCAAAAUAUAAAGCAACCGCCCAUAUGGACCCGCUUGAAGACUAUCAACUCAUAUGCUUCUCCCCCUUUUGUCAGUAAGGACCAAAAAGGUUUGAAGACAUAGAGCCUCUACUCGUUCCCAGAAGGAGUAGGUGAAGCUGCAGGGUCGGUGUCGAGGUUUGGCGGUGCAGAAGAACUUGGGGCAUUGUCGACACGCACUGAAGUUGGAGGUGGUGAGGUAGCAUCAUCUUGAUCAUCGAUGACUCUGGCAUUCACCGUUGCAGCUGAGGAGGAAUAGUCAGAGUCUUCAAGAGAGGGAGUCCGACGCAAGACAGCAUUCCUUGGAGGAGUGGAGUCAAACUUGAAUCUUUCAGUGAAGCCAUCGUCUUGAAGAUCUGCUUCAACACUGAGCAAGGUUAAACUCUUCCAUGACCCCCGACAGGUUUCAUGAGUGACAAAUGCAUUCUUGGUGGCAAGAUUGCGAAUGCGAUUUACGUCCACCAAGAGGCUUUGCAUCUGCCGCUUCAGCCAGUAGUGAUGCUUAUCCUAUUUCUGAUGCAGGGCAACGAGAAGCUCUCGGUCAUUGAGAACACGAGAUUGCUUCCGAGGCCUUUGAGCAAUAGUGCUUUCAGUGGCUUUAGUAUGGGCACGGUGAGGGAAGCGUGUAUUGCCAGCCAAAGGAUAAACACGAGUGACGGCCUGAACUCCUUCAAUGGGCUAUGUGAAGCUUUGGUGAUCAACAUUGUGAAGACAAACAGGCUCCUUGGCAGGCUCCGGGUAUAUGGCUUCAACUGACAUAUCAACCUAUGGCAAAAAUAUCAGAUGGUUGCAUGCAGAAGGUCGAUAGUUGACGGCAGAGUGAAGCUUGAUAAGGCGCAUAACCCAUGGAGCGUAGAACUUCAGACCAAAGAGAUCAGAGCCUGAUGCAGCCAAUUGUCUGAUAAAGAAGUCUUGAGCAUUGAAGCUGGUGCCAUUGAAGAUAUAAAAGACCAAUGUCUUCAUCGCUCCUUCAAGCUUUGCUGCAGAAGAAUGUCCUUUGACAGGCCAGAGAGUUCGCCUUAUGAUAUGAUAAAUAGUGCGGGGCAGAUACUCUAGGUCUUCAACAAAGAAAUCUCUUGGGUACUCAGCGUCGCGUGGCAGAGGCUUCGUCAUGCUUAGCAUUUGGUUCAUGUUGGGCUCUGGCUUCUGAAAGAUGCUCUCGAAUGCAUUGCGGUGAAGCUGACAACCAGGCUCGAAGAGUUCACCUGGAGUGGGCAGGCCAGUUAGCUCAAUGAUAUCAAGAGCUUUGGCUUCAUGAUGGACAUUGCCUGUCAUCCACUCAAGGACCCAAGUCUUCGGAUCCCCGUUGUAGCCGCGAAUGUGGAGGGUAGCAUAAAAUUGUAGCAGAAGCUCUUCAUUCCAAUGCUCCUUAUCAGUCACAAAGUUCAACAGACCAGCAUCACGGAAGCAGUCAAGGGCUUCUUCAAGGCAGGGCAGUCCAGCAAUGGCUUCAGUGUCUAGACGCAUAUGUGGAAAGAUACGCCCUUGGUCAUAGAGAACACAGGAAUAGUAGCUGCGCUGCUGAUAGCUCCAGAACCGAUCUGAUGAAAUCCUUGGCUUGGAAUAGGGGUUCUUGGCACUAUCAAAGAAGGGACAAUUGCAUUUUUACCCCUAGUUGGUUCCUACCCACGGGUUUUGCCCUUACUUUUCGAGCUUGAUCAGUUUUGCCCUUACUUUUUUCGUCGAGGUCCCUCGAAUGCCCUUUGACCGUUUGACCAAAACUUUGAAAAUUCAUAACUAAUUCAUAUGAACUCGGAAAAAUGCAAAUAAGAUAUCAAAAGCACCCUUUAUGUGCAUAUUAUUUUCAUUCGAGGACAUAUGAACUCGGAAAAAUGCAAAUAAGAUAUCAAAAGCACCCUUCAGAUAAACAUUACCUUUAUGUGCAUAUUAUUUUCAUUCAGGACAAAAGCACCCUUUAAACUACCUAAGGUAAUUAAUGUUAUUAACAUUAUCAAAAAUAAAAAGUUAUAAAUAAUAUUUUUUUCAUGAAUAAAAAAUACAUGCAAAUGUAGGUGAUGUUUUCUGAACAUCCAGAUAUCUUAUUUGCAUUUUUCUGAGUUCGUAUCAUCUUGUUAAGAAUGUUCUAAUGACUUUGACCAUUAUUUGGAAACUUCAUAACAAGUUGAUACGAACUCAGAAAAAUGCAAAUAAGAUAUUAGGAUGUUCAGAAAACAUCACCUACAUUUGCAUGUAAUUUUUAUUCAUGAAAAAAUAUUGUUUAUACCUUUUUAUUUUUAAUAAUGUUAAUAAUAUUAAUUACCUCUGGUAGUUUAAAGCGUGUGUUUGUCCUGAAUGCAAAUGAUAUGCACAUAAUGGUAAUGUUUAUCUACACAUUUCGAUAUCUUAUUUGCAUUUUUCCGAGUUCAUAUGAAUUAGUUAUGAAUUUUCAACAUUUUGGUCAAACGGUCAAAGGGCAUUGGAGGGACCUUGACGGAAAAAGUAAGGGCAAAACUGAGCAAGCUCGAAAAGUAAGGGCAAAACCCAUGGGUAGGAACCAACUAGGGGUAAAAAUGCAAUUGUCCCAUCAAAGAAAGUGUUGUGCGCAAUGAAGCCAUUUGCAUUGAAUGACCCUGGUGAAGUUGCUGUACCUGGAAACCUUGGCAACCUUGGCUUAGGCUUCUGGACCUGAGGCCUGUGCUCGAUAUGAUAGUCAAAUUGUGGACCAGCAGCAGGUGGAGGAACCAGAAUGGGCCAUCUAACAGUGACCAGCCGACCAUGAUCAUAUGCCUGCUCGAUGGUGUGUGGCCGUGGAGGCGGUACAGGAGCAGUGGCUGUGGUUUUGACUUUAGGCUGCAGAUUUGCGUCAGGUGCAGCAUUGGCUUCAGGUGCAAUCACGUCGUGCACCACAUUAACUUUAGGCGCCAUAUUAGCUUCAGCCAUGACAACGCCAUUGGCUUCAGUGUUGGUGUUGGUGGUCGCCUCAAUGUUAUCAACCUCCACUCGAGUAGCUGGAGGGUCGUACAUGUUCUCCUCGAGAACAACUUCAGGGUUGGUUGGGGGUGUAGCAACACGUUCUUCUUCAUCUCUUGGUUCUUCUUGGUCAUCGGCUGAUGCAGCCGGAAUAUCUUCAGCCGCGUUGGCUUCAGACUCGGAGUUGUUCACUAUUGGAGAGGCUUCAGGAAAUACUUGGCGAGAUACUGAUUGGUGCUCUUCUCCUUUUGGAACACUCGACAGAGUGACUUGUGGCCUUGGUCCUUUACGAAGCCUGCGGAACGCUGGCGACGCUUGUGGAGAUGGAGUUGUCUGGGCCACAAAGUCUUCAUCUUCAAGCACCGGAGUGGUGACUUGAGUUGGGGGAGUAGUUGGUGUUUCUUCUUGUCGGGGGGAGUCUUGAGGGUGAUCAGCCCAUGAAUCAUCCUGAGCAAUUGGCGUCAAGGGACGACCAAUGCUGAUGAGUUCGCUGUUCGUGAGAACAGGCGAUGAUACCACAUUUUGCUCGAUCUGAGGAAGGGCUUCAUCAUCUUCUACAUUGUCAUGUUGACCAAUGUCUUCAGCUACGGUGGGGUCAACAGCUGGAAUGUCUUCAGCUUCAGGAGCUUCAAUGGAAGCAGGCUCAUGAACUAUCAUUCGGCGCUCUUGAUGUGCAGAUGCAGGACGAGCAACAGAAAUUGGCUCGACGACAAGGGGCUCUGUGGGAGCAGCCCGAUCCUUCUUCUUGGUUUUUCACUUCUUGGCAGGAGGAGCCUCGUCAGUGGUGUUCUUGGUCUUGCGCUUUCUGGCUUCGGCUUCAGCUGCCCUCGUUUUCUUGAGCUCCGAAGCCACUGUGGUGACCUUAGGCUUCACGCCUGACAUACUGGCCGGGAAGACAAUGCGAGGUUCUUCCCGCCUGGAUGCUUCAGCUUGGUCCACAGCUGGCUUCUUCUUGGCAGCCAUCUUAGGGUCAAUGCCAGGAUGCCCAAGUGCCUUGCGCUUCUCAGCUUCAUUGUAGGCUUGAAUACAUUUGGCAGCCAAGAGCUUUAUGCGCUCUCAAGAACCUUUGGCUUCAUCACGUUUCUUGUGAAACACCUCCUUGAGCUCAUGCAUCAUGGUCUUGAAGUUUUGGACGUCUGUCGCACUGAGCUCGGCCAUAUGCUUCUUGAACUGAGCCUUUUCAUAGUCAAUCUUGUGCUUCAGUUUAACAAUUUUCUGAGCUAGAGCCAGCUCAGGAGCAAUGGCUCCAUGGAAGGAGACGCUGAGGCCAAUGGGGAGUUGGAGAUCAUCAAAACUGAGGUUUGGGCUGUCAAACCACUCGUCAAUGAAUUUGUCCAGAUUGUCCACAUCGAAGAGGGGAAGAUCAUUGAAGAUUUCCGCCUCUUGCUUGCUCUUUAUUAGCAGCUCAAGAGCAUCAUCGCCAAAAUCGUCGUCACUAGACAGAUCAAUGGCGUCGUUCUCAUUCCUCAGAACGGCAACAGGGGUCAGUGCUUGAACAGUAGGAUGCACGGGCUUCUUCUUCUUCUUAGACUUGGAGAUGCGAGAGAGAUCUUCAGAGUGCACGCUUGGUGCAGGAGGAGCAGUGCCCAGAGGCUUCGCUUGCAAAGCUCUUGGUGCAGCUGAGGGCUUCGAAGCCUUGGGUUUCUUCAGCUUCUUAGGCUUCGGUGGUGCAGGCGCUUCGUCAGAAUCAACGUCAUCUGCAGAGUGAUCCACGGCUGCCCCUUGAACCAUGAUGUGAGUGAUGAGACCCUCUAGGUUGUAGAAGGGCCCAACAAGAUUGGGUUCAGCUUCGCGUGUGCCAUCUGCACAAGGAGCAGAGGGACCUGGGUUGAAGUCUAAUCCCCGCGACUUCUUGUUCUCUUUGGCUGAGUUCUUGGCAAACUGAAAGUUGCGCUUGAACAGAUUGUCUUCAUGACACCAUAGCAGAGAGGAUGGGUCGGCAUCAGCAGGCUGCGGUCCACGGACCAUGCAAGGGUAGAAACCCUGAUCAAUGGCUUCAGCUCUGGACCUGGGUGGAAGAUUUUUGUAGAAGAUGUCUCCCCAGGGUCGCUUGAUGGCAUUCUUUUCAGCAUAUUCCUGGGUGACGAACCUGUACUUGAACCAUUGUUCAGACCAAUAUCUUCGAAUCCAUUGGAUUCGAGUUUUGCGUUGGCCAUAGCUCUCCUCAGGAUCAGUUUUGUAAAGCUCAUAUAGAUCUUCGGGCAGAUCCAUUGAUGUGCCCCCGCGGCGCUGUCUGCCUCCCUUCCUUGCUGAUUUUUCUGUUGCCAUGAAGUUCAGACUGAAAGGCUUCAAAGCUGUCAAAGUCUUCCGUCUGCUGGUCAGACAGGAACUGGCUUCGGGAGAGUUGAUGAUGCUGUAAGAAUUCUGCAAAUGAAUGCAGACUAUGAGAACCAAGGGAUUCUCCCACGGACAUGUACCUGUGACAGCAUUAGAGUUGCGAGGGAAGGGGAAGAGGUCAUAUGCAUUCUCAGAAGAUUUUGAAGAAAAAUCAGUUUAGAAGACUUUGACCUCAUAGCGUGAAGACAUUCACUUAUAUGUUGAGAGUUGGUUCUAGAUUUGUACGAAUCCAAGAAUAGGUACAAGUGAGGAAUCUAACUACAUGUGAAGCAUAAGUGAAUAUACUAGGCAUCAUAUGAGAUGCAAAACAGGAUAGAUCCAAAUUUGUGGAGACAGAAACCACUUUUGGUAGGAAGGAUGAAUCUGUCGGAUCAAAAAGAUAGUAAAAAAGAGAGUUUUAAUUUACCACACGAUGAACUGCUAGACGGAGUAGAAGAUGAGGCCGAGCGGUUCGAUCUUCCGUGCCCUAACUUGGCGACGGAGGACACCUACGGCGGCGGCGGAGAAGACGAUGUCCGUGGCCGGCGUGAAGACGGCGUCGGAGAGGUCGCGACAGCUAAGCGCUUCGUCGCCGGCGUCGUCGAGGGCUAGCGGUGGCGCUAGGGUUUGUCGAGGUGGAGAGGUGGAAGAAGUGUUUUGACCGCGAUGUGAUGUGCAUGUAUAGGGAGAGGGACGGCACAGCGCAAUUACGCAGGUGCCCCUGGCGGUUCACAUCUGAGGGACACAACAUGCAACACAUUGGAAGUUGUUCCAUGUUCCCACGCACGCCUGGACUGUCGGGUGGUCGUUCCGGCUUCUCCGGGUUUCAGGCAAUAAGGAUUGAGCAUUUAAAACAGAUUUAAUGUUUGUCUCUGUAUCUUCUGCUGACAAGGACGCAGAGAAGACAUUCGACGGUUUCAAUAGAAUGCAUAUGAUUUGGAUAGAUAGAGUUUGAGGUAGGAAGCAUAGAGAGGUUAGGGUCCGAUCACAUUCACUUAGUUCAAAAGAUUCAAACGAGAUGACAUAGCUAUAAGUGAAUGCUGUAGAGGACAGAACACUAACAUAUGUAUAUAUCAGAACAAGACCAAAAGAAGUCAUGUUACUAUUGAAGACAAAUCAAAUGCGAAGACUUAGCAAAUGUAACGCCAAGAGAAAAACAUUCCAAACAAAAGUUUGGUGGUGGUGUUACCCACCGUAUAGGAAGUAUUAGACCCAGACACGGCGCACAAUUAUCGUGGUGCUCCGAAGUCAAAUUCCGCAUUAAUGUAUUCACACUCAGAGUGUAAGUCUUCAUUGAUUGCAGAUAUACAUUACUUCGUGUGUUGCUCAUCUAAGUCAUCAACAUGCAUAAGUGUUAGGAUGUGUGCCUGAUCGCAGGACAUUCGAGGAUUCCAAGAUAUUUAGCUCACACCGCAACUUGCAAAACCUUUUCUCAUCCAAGGGCUUUGUGAAGAUAUCUGCCAAUUGCUCUUCAGUGUUGACGUGUAUGAUAUCAAUAUCUUCCUUCAUAACAUGAUCUCUGAGAAAGUGAUGACGAAUUUCAAUGUGCUUUGUCUUCGAGUGCUGAACUGGAUUGUUGGCAAUCUUGAUGGCGCUUUCGUUGUCGCAGUAGAGUGGUACUUGUUUCAGAUGGAUGCCAUAGUCCUUGAGAGUUUGCUUCAUCCAUAGAAGCUGAGCGCAGCAAGAUCCAGCAGCAAUGUAUUCAGAUUCAGUAGUGGAGAGUGAUACACAGUUCUGCUUCUUUGAAGACCAACAGACAAGUGAUCGUCCCAGAAAGUGACAUGUGCCUGAUGUAGACUUGCGAUCCACCUUGUCACCAGCAUAAUCAGCAUCCGAGAAUCCAACUAGAUCAAACUCUGAGCCCUUUGGAUACCAUAAUCCUAGUGUUGGGGUGUAAGCCAAAUAUCAAAGAAUUCGCUUCACAGCUAAGUGAUGCGAUUCCUUUGGUGCCGGUUGGAAUCGAGCACACGUGCAAACACUAAGCAUGAUAUCUGGCCUAGAUGCACAUAAAUAAAGUAAAGAACCAAUCAUGGAGCGGUAUACCUUUUGAUCGAACUCUUUACCAUUGGUGUCGGGACCCAGAUGACUCUUGGUUGGCAUUGGCGUCGUGUAACCUUUGCAGUCUUGCAUUCCAAACUUCUUCAGGCAGUCUCUGAGGUAUUUCUCUUGAGAUAUGAAGAUGCCAUUGCUUUGCUGACAAAUUUGAAGACCAAGGAAGAACUUCAGCUCACCCAUCAUGGACAUCUGAUAUUGCUCUUGCAUCAUGUGUCCAAACUCAUCACUGUAUUUCUGGUUGGUGCGGCCGAAGGUAAUGUCAUCCACAUAUAUUUGGCACACAAACAGUUCACUAUCAUAUGUCUUCGUGAAGAGUGUGGGAUCCAGGGAACCAGGUUUGAAGCCUUUGCUCUUCAGGAAGUAUUUGAGUGUGUCAUACCAAGCGCGAGGGGCUUGUUUGAGGCCAUACAAUGCCUUGUUGAGCUUGUACACCAUAUCAGGAUGUUUUGGAUCUUCAAAGCCAGGAGGUUGUGCAACAUACACUUCUUCUUCAAUCUUGCCGUUGAGAAAUGCACUCUUCACAUCCAUUUGAUACAGAAAGAUGUUGUGAUGAUUUGCAUAGGCUAGCAAUAUGCGAAUAGCUUCAAGCCUAGCCACAGGAGCAAAUGUUUCAUCAAAUUCAAUCCCUUCAACUUGAGUGUAUCCUUGAGCAACGAGACGAGCCUUGUUUCUGACAACUUGACCAUGCUCAUCUUGCUUGUUUUGAUAAAUCCAUUUUGUGCCUAUUAUGUUGUGCUUGCGAGGGUUAGGACGCUUGACAAGUUCCCAGACAUUGUUCAGUUUGAACUGUUGAAGCUCUUCUUGCAUGGCUUGAAUCCAUUCAGGUUCCAUGAAGGCUUCAGCAACUUUCUUGGGUUCAGAUAUUGAGACGAAUGCAAAGUGCCCACAGAAAUUUGCUACAUGUGUUGCUCUUGAACGAGUGAGUGGACCAGGCGCAUUGAUGCUAUCAAUUAUCUUCUCAAUCUGUACUUCAUUUGCAACACGAGGAUGAAUUGGACGAAGAUUUUGCUCUUGCUGAUCAUUGUCAUCGUUAGGAGGAUUGUCUUCGGGCUGAGCAUUGUCUUCAGGUUGAUUGGGUGCAGAAAUGAUAAGUUCCUCUUCAGGCUGUGCUUCAGACGGUAUGAUUUCUCCUGUUCCCAUUAGCUUGAUGGAUUCACUAGGUGGAACUUCAUCUAGCACAUUUGGCAGGUGCUCUCCUUGCGAGCCAUUAGUCUCAUCGAAUCGCACAUCCACAGUUUCAACCACUUUAUAGUGAAAGAGGUUGAAGACUCUGUAGGAGUGUGAAUCCUUUCCGUAACCAAGCAUAAAACCUUCAUGUGUUUUCGGUGCAAAUUUUGAAGUGUGAUGUGGGUCCUUGAUCCAGCACCUAGCACCAAAUACUCUGAAGUAACUGACAUUUGGCUUCUUACUAGUGAGGAGUUCAUAGGAUGUCUUCUUCAGAAGCUUGUGAAGAUAAACACGGUUGAUGACAUGGCAUGCAGUAUCAAUAGCUUCAGGCCAGAACUUUCUUGGAGUCUUGUAUUCAUCAAGCAUCGUCCGUGCCAUCUCAAUGAGUGUUCUGUUCUUGCGCUCCACGAUGCCAUUCUGCUGAGGUGUGUACGGAGCUGAGAACUCAUGAGUGAUGCUCAAUAUAUCCAGGUAAAGGUCGAGGCCGGUGUUCUUGAACUCUGUGCCGUUGUCACUUCUGAUAUGCUUGAUCUUGACGCCAUAGUUGUUCAUGGCACGGUUGGUGAAGCGUUUGAAGACAUCCUACACUUCAGUCUUGUAGAGAAUUAUAUGCACCCACGUAUAUCUUGAGUAAUCAUCAACAAUGACGAAGCCAUAGAGACAAGCAGUAGUGGUGAGAGUAGAGUAGUGAGUAGGGCCAAAUAAGUCCAUGUGUAGCAGCUCGAAGGGUUGAGAUGUCGUCAUGAUUGUCUUCGAGGGAUGCUUGGCCCUUGUCAUCUUUCCAGCUUCGCAGGCACCGCACAGAUGAUCUUUCUUGAACUUGACGCCCUCGAUGCCUAUGACGUGCUUCUUCUUUGCGAGAGUGUGUAAGUUCCUCAUGCCAGCAUGCCCUAGCCUUCGAUGCCAGAGCCAACACUCUGAAGCUUUUGCUAGAAGACAUACAACAAGCUGUGGUCCUGCUGAGAAAUCUACCAUGUACAGAUCAUCUUUUCGAUACCCUUCAAAGACUAGAGACUUGUCAGAUUCCAUUAGUACAAGGCAACAAUAUUUUCCAAAUAUCACAAUCAUGUUCAAGUCAAAAAGCAUUGAGACAUACAUUAAGUUGAAACCAAGGGAUUCAACAAGCAUCACUUUAUCCAUGUGCUUAUCCUUUGAGAUUGCAACUCUACCUAGACCCAAUACCUUGCUUUUACCAGUGUCAGCAAAUGUGAUGUGACUCUUGUCAGAUGGACGUAAGGUUGAGUCCAUGAGAAGACUUCGAUCACCAGUCAUAUGAUUAGUGCAUCCGCUGUCCAUAAUCCAUUCUGAAGCAUGAGGUGUCAUACCCUACAGUACAGUUAGGGGGAUAGGCUUUACCAAGAGUAUUGUGAAGCAUAAACAUUUGACGCACAAGAGGAUUAUCAAAGCUCAGAUCAAGAUUAGGACAGAUAGGAUGAUUGGCAAGCGAUUUAGGAACAAAAUACAUAGUAAGACCAUUUGGGCAUUUGAUCUUGCGCCCUACAAGAUGUUUUAGGUCCCCAGCAUUAGCAUCAGACGCCUUUGAUUUCCGGCUGGAGACCUUUCCCUGCCAAAGAAAGUUAAUUCUUCUUAACCACCCACAUCUUCAGGGGUGGCUUAGAAGCAAUGAGUCUAAGUGCAGCAUCUGAGAACUUCGGCUUUGGAGCCCUAGCAAAUAGCCUUGCAGGAGAUGAACGAUACUCAUAUGAAUAAGCAGGAAAGUUCUUAGUUUUAUGAACAUAGCGGUUUGAUGAAACCCGCUCAUAUUCAUAAGUUUGAGCAUGAUUUCCCUGCAAAACAUUGGCGUUAGGGUGACUCAAGUGAGUCCUGUAUCUGUAUGAAGCCUUUGGAUGUAACGCCCCGAGACCGACGCUCCAGAAGACUUCCAGCUAUUCCGAGUUUCGCCGUGUGAUUUAUUUUUGUUUGUUGCAUUUCAUCAUGUCAUCUCUUGCAUUGCAUCAUGUCAUCAUGCUAUCAUAUCAUUAAUUUUAUAACUCUUUUAAACAAAUUGUAUGGAUUUUUCGAUCCAUUUAAAUCAAGGGAAGGGUGACUUCUCUUUAUAACAUAUCCCCCCAAUAUUAUGGAGCUAUCAUAAAUAUUCCAUUAACUUUGGAAUCACCAUAACACACCUGCAGUUUAAGUUCCAUGCAUUUUUCUAUCUAAAUUCCUUGCCUCAAACUUUGCCAACAAUUCUUUCUCCAUUUAUUGUGGCUCCUCUAAAAUUCUCAACAUUUUUGGGCCUUCCAAACCUCCACUUCCUAUUCACCUAUUUGAAUUAAAUUCAAAUGUUUUUGAAUCUAAACCUUGCAUCCAUGCCCACUCCUAUUUUCUUGGAUUAAACUCAUUUUUCUGAGUCUGAGAAAAUUAACCCCGUGCCAAUUCUUUCUCUAACCUUCUCUUUUCUCUCUAUUCUUUCUUUCUAUUUUCUGUAAAUCAAGAAGAGAGAAGCCCAGCUGGCCAAUUGGGCCUCCCAGCAGGUCAGCCCACCUAUCUAAUCCUAACCCUAGCCCGACCUCCUCCUCACUCCCAUCGAUCUCCAUCUCUCCCUUGUCCUCCCUCCAGCGCCGCCAGCGCUCGAUCCCCCACCUCCUCGCUCAAUCCCCAUCUCCUUCUCUUUCUGCCGCCCGGCCUCCCGCGCCACCAGAAGUGGCCCCGUCACCCGAAACCAUGGCGCCCGUGCUCUCAAGCUUCCUGGUCCGCCGCCCUGGCAUGGCCGCUGCUUCUGCCUUCCUCCAGCCGCCGAGCAUCCCCGCCGCCGCCUCGUCGUGGAUCCGCGUCCCCUUUGCUCCACCCCGCACCUCGCCCUUGCCUCCCUUUGCCACGACCUUCUCCUCGCUGCCGUCGCGCCAAGCUCUGCCGUCGCCUGCCCGCGUCCCCGUCGACCGCCUCCGCUUCCUCUGCAACGAGCAGGAGAACGUUCGUCAGGCGCCCGCCUCCUCUGUUCCUGCCCGCCUGGGCCACCACAGCCUCCCAAGGCCCAAGCUAGAUCCGGCCUGCCCGGCCUCCUCCACCGAGCCGACCCAUGAGGCCUGGUGAGCAUCAGAUCCAGCGCCCUCAACCUGUUGCACUGCUGGGCCAGUUAGAUUCAGCCCAGUUCUUGUUUUUUUUCCUCCGGCGAUUUUAGUAAUUAUCCGAGGAUUUACAGUAUUGCAGAAAAACCCCUCAUGUUCAUGCAUUAAUAAUUAAUUAACCGUGCAUCUUUUGUAAAUAAUUUAUAUAUGUAAAAUGCUUAGAAUUUUGUGUAGUUUAAUAAUAUGCCACUUUCAUCCCAUGUUAAAAUGUUUAAAAUGCUGUUUAUUUAAUUUUGCAUAAAUGCCAUGUUAAAAUGAUUUAUUUCAUAACUAAUUAACCGUAGCUCGGAUUUAAAUAAACUUUAUAUGUAAAUGGGGUAGAAAAAUGCCUAGUUUAACAUGGUGCACUUUAUUUUGCUUUUUAACAACAUUAAAAUAUGGGUUUAGGCAGAACAGUACCAAAUCUAAAUUAUGGACAUGAGGAUUUUCCGGAAAUUGUUGUUUGUUGUUCCGGCCUCAUUUAAAUUGCCUAGAUAGUUAGUUUUUCUUAUGCCUCACCUCUUGCCAUGUUAAUCAACAUUUAAUAUUGUUGGGUACAUAACCGAGAGCGAACUAAAUAAUUAAAUGUGGUGUUUCGUCAAUAUGCAAAUCGUUGCAUAUUGAACUCCACUUAAUUUGUAGUAUUGUUUGUUGCACUUUGCCAUGCAUAUUUAAACCGGACAUGCAUCAUAUUUGUUUUUGCAUCAUGCCAUGUGUAUGUGGUGGUUGUUCACUAUGUUGCUUGUUUCUUUCCGGGCUGCUUCUCUCGUUAGCUUCGGUUUCGUUUCGGAGUUGUGAGGAUUCGUUCGACCACAUCCGUUUGUCUUCUUCAUGGACUCGUUCUUCUUCCUAGCAGGAUUUCAGGCAAGAUGACCAUACCCUCGAAAUCACUUCUAUCUUUGCUUGCUAGUUGUUCGCUCUAUUGCUAUGCCGCGUUACCUAUUCACUUGCUCUUGAAGCCUCCCAAGUUGCCAUGAACCUCUAACCUUUGUCACCUUCCUAGCAAACCGUUGUUUGGCUAUGUUACCGCUUUUGCUCAGCCCCUCUUAUAGCGUUGCUAGUUGCAGGUGAAGAUGAAGAUUGCUCCAUGUUGGAUUAUGUUUAUGUUGGGAUAUCACAAUAUCUCUUAUCUUAAUUAAUGCAUCUAUAUACUUGGUAAAGGGUGGAAGGCUCGGCCUUAUGCCUGGUGUUUUGUUCCACUCUUGCCGCCCCUAGUUUCCGUCAUACCGGUGUUAUGUUCCUUGAUUUUGCGUUCCUUACGCGGUUGGGUGAUUUAUGGGACCCCCUUGACAGUUCGCUUUGAAUAAAACUCCUCCAGCAAGGCCCAACCUUGGUUUUACCAUUUUCCCACCUAAGCCUUUUUCCCUUGGGUUCUGCAGACUCAAGGGUCAUCUUUAUUUUAAACCCCCGGGCCAGUGUUCCUCUGAGUGCUGGUCCAAACUAGAGCCACUUGCAGCGCCACCUCGGGGAAACUUGAGGUCUGGUUUUAGUUGUACGUAGUGUUCAUCCGGUGUGCCCUGAGAACGAGAUAUGUGCAGCUCCUAUCAGGAUUUGUCGGCACAUUCGGGCGGCUUUGCUGGUCUUGUUUUACCAUUGUCGAAAUGUCUUGUAAACCGGGAUUCCGAGACUGAUCGGGUCUUCCCGGGAGAAGGUUUAUCCUUCGUUGACCGUGAGAGCUUAUAAUGGGCUAAGUUGGGACACCCCUGCAUGGUAUUAUCUUUUGAAAACCGUGCCCGCGGUUAUGUGGCAGAUGGGAAUUUGUUAAUGUCCGGUUGUAGAGAACUUGACACUUGACCUUAAUUAAAACGCAUCAACCGCAUGUGUAGCCGUGAUGGUCUCUUCUCGGCGGAGUCCGGGAAGUGAACACGGUUUCUGGGUUAUGUUUGACGUAAGUAGGAGUUCAGGAUCACUUCUUGAUCAUUGCUAGCUUCACGACCGUUCCGUUGCUUCUCUUCUCGCUCUCAUUUGCGUAUGUUAGCCACCAUAUAUGCUUAGUGCUUGCUAUAGCUCCACCUCAUUACCCCAUCCUUUCCUUUAAGCUUAAAUAGUCUUGAUCUCGCGGGUGUGAGAUUGCAGAGUCCUCGUGACUCACAGAUACUUCCAAAACAGUUGCAGGUGCCGACGAUGCCAGUGCAGGUGACGCAACUGGGCUCAAGUGGGAGCUCGAUGAAGAUCUUGUUCGUUGUGUUGUUUCUUUUCAUCUUGAUCAGUAGUGGAGCCCAGUUGGGACGAUCGGGGAUCUAGCAGUUGGGUUGUCUUCUUUUAUUUUGGUUCCGUAGUCGGACCUAUGUGUGUAUCUUGAAUGAUGUAUGACUUAUUCAUGUAUUGUGUGAAGUGGCGAUUGUAAGCCAACUCUUUAUCCCAUUCUUGUUCAUUACAUGGGAUUGUGUGAAGAUGACCCUCCUUGCGACAAAACCACAAUGCGGUUAUGCCUCUAAGUCGUGCCUCGACACGUGGGAGAUAUAGCCGCAUCGUGGGCGUUACAAGUUGGUAAUCAGAGCCAUCCCCGACUUAGGAGCCCCCUGCUUGAUCGAAUCGCUGACGUUGUUGAGUCUAGAACAAAAAUGUAUUGAGUCUUAGGAUUAUAUAUAUCGGAGAGUAGGAUUCUUUUUACUCCUCAGUCCCUUCGUCGCUCUGGUGAGGUCUCCUGACGUAGAAGUUUUGACUUUUCUCUCCUCAAAUUUCACUAAUUUUUUUUAGGAUCACGCGGGUAUCUUGGAAUCGUUCUGAUGGUUUUGUGACGAGAACAUUGUUCUUGGUGCCUCCUGACAUUUAGGGGUUGUGGCAGUGUCCCGGGGAGUUGAGCUCCGAGGUGUUGUCGUCACAAUUUUAUCGUUGCAGUUCUGGAAUACCUGAGUUUCGCCGACAUCGAAAUCUCUUUUAUGCAGUUGUUGGUGAGAUCACCUCGACGCCACCCAGUACUGGGGCGGGAGUUCGGGAGUAUUGCCAUAACUCGUAUAACGGAUGCUUUUCGAAGGUUGAGGUAAAUGAUUUCCGGAGUUUUCUUGGUUAUGUGUUGACGGAUGGAUACAGCUGGAUCUAGGUAUUGUUAGUUUGGGUGAUAUAUUUUGUGUCCCCUGUAUCCCCAACACCAGAUUGCAUAACCAGAAAGUUUCGGGAGUUUAUAAGUGGGAAUUCAAGUAGCCUUAGGAUAUCUUUCCGACAGACGCAUGAUAUGAGAUUGGGGUUCGACGUCUAGUGGUCCGCCUGUACACGGUUGGUUUUACAGUGGUCUCGUAGUGUCUUAAAGAGUCCUUGGCUAUGCCGACUCGGGGACGCUUCGUAUGUCAUGUGCACAGCCUUGUACAUGAUGGUGCUAUACGAUCGAGCCCGUGUGGGCCCCACCACGAAAACUUCAGACGAAAUCUCUAUCAUAUGUUUGUUCCGGCUUAUUCUGCAAGCCAAAUCCCUUGUUUUGUUUUAUUUGUGGUAUUCGAGUUGCUUCUAUGACAAGUGUUGAUUCCAUACCUUAUUCUAAGCGGUGUUCUCAUAUUUCUAUGUGGAUGAUAAUCCUUCUUGAUUAUCGAGAUUGUCAUGGUAAUUUCUUUUUCUACCGGUGUGCUUCUCUUCAUGUGGAUCCAAUCAUUUCAACACUCGCAAGAUCACCUCUCAGUUUCCCAACAUUGUUCGUUUCAUCCGUCCCCAAGUUGCCUUUGUUUUUCCCGCCCUCCCACCCUUUUUAUUCAAGGAUUCAGAUUUCUUAAUCAAGUAUCCAUCUUAUGGAUGUGAAGUCUCUUCAUUCUUUUCCUCCAUGUUCUUAACCGGUGAUUUCUCAUGAAGAUGCUCACGAAGCUUCAAGUUUAUUAUUCUUCGUUAUUUUUUCUUCGCCGGUGAAUUCAAUUCAAGUUUUCGGAUUAAUCAUAUUUUUUCCUUGUUUCAAAUGUUUUUCUCAUGCUGGUGUAUCUCUUAAUCAUUCCCCGCUUGCUAUUCAAUUGUUCCGGAGUGCUGAAGAUAUCUCUGAAGAUUCGUGUUUUCACUCCGCAUCAAUUCUAACUAGUUCGAGGUUGUUACCUCAUUCGAGCCAUUUAAUUCAACCGGUGCAAUCUCAUUUUUCAAGUAAUCAUUCAACGGUGUUUCUUUUGAGUGGGCCCUAACCCACAGGUCUUUUUCCAGGAUCUUACCUGACUCUUCUAAUUUUUCCGGAGUUUCUAGAAUUCAUUGCUAAGUUUGACGUAAGAAUGAUUUAUUAUCAGUCAUAUUUCUUUCUCCAAGAUCUUUCAAAUUAUUUUCGUCGUUGGUUCAACAUUUCUAAUUUUCAUUCCGGAGUGCCUCAAUAAUUCUUGAUGGUGUUUCUCAUCGUCAUUCUCAACAUUUGAAGACCGAAGAAGAAUUUCUCCUAAAUCUUGGUCCGUUCUCUUGAAGAUUCAUGGUUCUAGAUUAUGCCAUCCUCUCAUAAUUGUUUUGAUUGUGAGAAUUCUUUUCUGACCCAUCCGGAGCAUUUCAUGAGUUGUUUUCAUUUCUUGAUCAUCCAAAGGCCAUCAUUUCAGAAGAUUUCUUCGUUCUAAGUUUUCAGCUUCGUUCUUCAAUUAUUCUAAAUUGAUGUCUUCUUCAGUCACCUCCAUAUUAUUCCGGUGCAUCGUUCAAAUAUCCUCUAGUCAACUCGUGAUCUAUUCGUUCUCAUGUAUCUAAUUCCCUCGAGUUUUUUCGCGCGUUCUUUAAUUCUACCGUUGUUUCGUCCUCUUUUAUUCAAUUGUUUUCAAUUCUCGCGGUGGUUCAUUCAAGAUUUUCUCUUCCUUCGUUAUCAUAUCAAUUUAUUCAUUGUUUCAAUCCUACCGGUGUUUCGAUGAAGACCUUCUCUAGUUUGCGCAAUAUCUAUCUUAAUCCUUUCUACGAGAAUAAGUAGUAUGAAAGAUCCGUUGCUUGUCAUCAAUCUAAAUUGGUGAAGGAUGAGCAUAAUGUAAUUCUUAUUCUUGUUUCAUCCAAGUGUUUAAUCCCUUCUUUUGGAGUUCGUUCACGAUAUCAAACUCUCGGUUCCAAGUUGUUCAUCUUUUCUUUCCGGAGUUCCAAGUUUUCUCGGUUAUAUCAUUUCAAAGCUUCAUCUAAUCAUUGCAAGGCUUCUCCCGGAGUUCUUUUCAAGUUUCCAUUUCGUUUGAUCAUUUUUUUAUUACGGGAGUUCUCACGAAGGCUCUACAUGGUGCUUCAUCAAAGAUUCUUUUCAUUCUUCAAUUGUUCUUCAAGAUCUUCUCGAAGUUAAGAUCCGUCAAGCUAUACUCUAAAAUUAACAUGGUGUUCAACACAUGUCUUGUUUUGAGGAGUUCAAGCAUUCUUCAUCUUGCAUUCCGAAAUGCAAUUCUCUCUAUCUUAUCUUUCGAGAUGGUGUUAUAUCAUUCUUGACAAUUACCCUUCAUGGUUCAUGAUUCACAAGUUGUCCGGAAUGACAUAUUUUAAAACCAUCAAUUUCAAUUCGUUCACGAGAUCUUUUCAAUCCUUUAAUCUCUUCGUUGGAUCUAUCUUGUGUCAUGUUUCACCUAAAGACUUCCCUAAGGAAUGUUGCUAUUAUGGUGCUUAUCGAUGAUCCAAGUUUUCUCCUAUCCUCUCGGCGAGAGAAGAUUUCAUCUCUUCGUUGAUCUCAAGCAAGCAAUUGUUUUCGUUAGUGGCAAAAUUUUCACCUCAUGUUUUGAGAUGUCUCCAUAAGCCCACGAGGAUCAUAUCCUUUUGUUGUUGGUUUUUUCCAACAACUCCAUUAUAACCUUCUUGGAAGGAUGCUUUCCAAGCUCAUUUGUGGCAGAAGUUGUCAUUUUCUUCUACAUUCUUUAUUACAAGGAUCUAUCUUCCGAAGGCAUUGUGAUGUUGCUCUUUUCACUCAUCUUCUCGGUUUGUGAGGACCGUGUUCUUUUCGUGCUUAUCCUUUUCCAACCGGAGUGUCGUGCCCUCUUUUCAAGUUCUUCCCAUUCUGUCAAGUUUUGUCUCCUUCCUCAACCGGAGUGCGGUCUGAAAUCUUUCUUUUCCCUUGUGCCAUUCUUUCAUUAGUUCCGGAGGUAAUGUGUUAUUAAUUUCAUCGAGUAUCCUCUCAUCUUGUCAAGAUCAUGUUCAAUUCCUUCCAUUUACAGUCGGAGUGCUGCCCAAAUUAUAUCAUUCUUAUCCCUUCCCUAUCUUGUUUUAACCGGAGUGUUGGUGUCUAUCAUUCCUCUUCUAACCGGAGUCUCAUCCAAGUGCUUUCAUUUUGCCAAGUCCAUAUUGUACCCCUUCCAUUUUCCAACUGGAGCGUUAUCGUAAUUGAUCAUUAUCGUUCCUUGUACAUCUCGUUUCAACCAGAGUGCUUGCAUGUAUUUCUCGUCCAUUGUUCUCGUCAUUCAUAGCUUUGCAAACUCCAAAGUUCACAUGGUGUUCCUUGUUUCUCUUUUCUACCGGAGUCUUCUCAAUUUUGUUCACCUCCGUCGUGUCAUUUCUUCAAGCUUUGCGACCUCUCAAGGUUCUUUGGUUUCACUCGUUUGUCAAAGAAGCAAUUAGUUUUACCUCUUCUCUUCCUCUUCCGUUCCUCUCCGGUGCCAUCCUAGAUCUCGGGACGAGAUCCUCUUGUAGUGGUGGAGUGUUGUAACGCCCCGAGACCGACGCUCCAGAAGACUUCCAGCUAUUCCGAGUUUCGCCGUGUGAUUUAUUUUUGUUUGUUGCAUUUCAUCAUGUCAUCUCUUGCAUUGCAUCAUGUCAUCAUGCUGUCAUAUCAUUAAUUUUAUAACUCUUUUAAAUAAAUUGUAUGGAUUUUUCGAUCCAUUUAAAUCAAGGGAAGGGUGACUUCUCUUUAUAACAUAUCCCCCCAAUAUUAUGGAGCUAUCAUAAAUAUUCCAUUAACUUUGGAAUCACCAUAACACACCUGCAGUUUAAGUUCCAUGCAUUUUUCUAUCUAAAUUCCUUGCCUCAAACUUUGCCAACAAUUCUUUCUCCAUUUAUUGUGGCUCCUCUAAAAUUCUCAACAUUUUUGGGCCUUCCAAACUUCCACUUCCUAUUCACCCAUUUGAAUUAAAUUCAAAUGUUUUUGAAUCUAAACCUUGCAUCCAUGCCCACUCCUAUUUUCUUAGAUUAAACUCAUUUAUCUGAGUCUGAGAAAAUUAACCCCGUGCCAAUUCUUUCUCUAACCUUCACUUUUCUCUCUAUUCUUUCUUUCUAUUUUCUGUAAAUCAAGAAGAGAGAAGCCCAGCUGGCCAAUUGGGCCUCCCAGCAGGUCAGCCCACCUAUCUAAUCCUAACCCUAGCCCGACCUCCUCCUCACUCCCAUCGAUCUUCAUCUCUCCCUCGUCCCCCCUCCAGCGCCGCCAGCGCUCGAUCCCCCCACCUCCUCGCUCGAUCCCCAUCUCCUUCUCUUUCUGCCGCCCGGCCUCCCGCGCCACCAGAAGUGGCCCCGUCACCCGAAACCAUGGCGCCCGUGCUCUCAAGCUUCCUGGUCCGCCGCCCCUGGCAUGGCCGCUGCUUCUGCCUUCCUCCAGCCGCCGAGCAUCCCCGCCGCCGCCUCGUCGUGGAGCCGCGUCCCCUUUGCUCUGCCCCGCACCUCGCCCUUGCCUCCCUUUGCCACGACCUUCUCCUCGCUGCCGUCGCGCCAAGCUCCGCCGUCGCCUGCCCGCGUCCCCGUCGACCGCCUCUGCUUCCUCUGCAACGAGCAGGAGCACGUUCGUCAGGCGCCCGCCUCCUCUGUUCCUGCCCGCCUGGGCUACCGCAGCCUCCCAAGGCCCAAGCCAGAUCCGGCCUGCCCGGUCUCCUCUACCGAGCCGACCCAUGAGGCCUGGUGAGCAUCAGAUCCAACGCCCUCAACCUGUUGCACUGCUGGGCCAGUUAGAUUCGGCCCAGUUCUUGUUUUUUUUCCUCCGGCGAUUUUAGUAAUUAUCCGAGGAUUUACAGUAUUGUAGAAAAACCCCUCAUGUUCAUGCAUUAAUAAUUAAUUAACCGUGCAUCUUUUGUAAAUAAUUUAUAUAUGUAAAAUGCUUAGAAUUUUGUGUAGUUUAAUAAUAUGCCACUUUCAUCCCAUGUUAAAAUGUUUAAAAUGUUGUUUAUUUAAUUUUGCAUAAAUGCCAUGUUAAAAUGAUUUAUUUCAUAACUAAUUAACCGUAGCUCGGAUUUAAAUAAACUUUAUAUGUAAAUGGGGUAGAAAAAUGCCUAGUUUAACAUGGUGCACUUUAUUUUGCUUUUUAACAACAUUAAAAUAUGGGUUUAGGCAGAACAGUACCAAAUCUAAAUUAUGGACAUGAGGAUUUUCCGGAAAUUGUUGUUUGUUGUUCCGGCCUCAUUUAAAUUGCCUAGAUAGUUAGUUUUUCUUAUGCCUCACCUCUUGCCAUGUUAAUCAACAUUUAAUAUUGUUGGGUACAUAACCGAGAGCGAACUAAAUAAUUAAAUGUGGUGUUUCAUCAAUAUGCAAAUCGUUGCAUAUUGAACUCCACUUAAUUUGUAGUAUUGUUUGUUGCACUUUGCCAUGCAUAUUUAAACCGGACAUGCAUCAUAUUUGUGUUUGCAUCAUGCCAUGUGUAUGUGGUGGUUGUUUACUAUGUUGCUUGUUUCUUUCCGGGUUGCUUCUCUCGUUAGCUUCGGUUUUGUUCCGGAGUUGUGAGGAUUCGUUCGACCACAUCCGUUUGUCUUCUUCAUGGACUCGUUCUUCUUCCUAGCAGGAUUUCAGGCAAGAUGACCAUACCCUCGAAAUCACUUCUAUCUUUGCUUGCUAUUUGUUCGCUCUAUUGCUAUGCCGCGUUACCUAUUCACUUGCUCUUCAAGCCUCCCAAAUUGCCAUGAACCUCUAACCUUUGUCACCUUCCUAGCAAACCGUUGUUUGGCUAUGUUACCACUUUUGCUCAGCCCCUCUUAUAGCGCUGCUAGUUGCAGGUGAAGAUGAAGAUUGCUCCAUGUUGGAUUAUGUUUAUGUUGGGAUAUCACAAUAUCUCUUAUCUUAAUUAAUGCAUCUAUAUACUUGGUAAAGGGUGGAAGGCUCGGCCUUAUGCCUGGUGUUUUGUUCCACUCUUGCCGCCCCUAGUUUCCGUCAUACCGGUGUUAUGUUCCUUGAUUUUGCGUUCCUUACGCGGUUGGGUGAUUUAUGGGACCCCCUUGACAGUUCGCUUUGAAUAAAACUCCUCCAGCAAGGCCCAACCUUGGUUUUACCAUUUGCCUACCUAAGCCUUUUUCCCUUGGGUUCUGCAGACUCAAGGGUCAUCUUUAUUUUAAACCCCCGGGCCAGUGUUCCUCUGAGUGCUGGUCCAAACUAGAGCCACUUGCAGCGCCACCUCGGGGAAACUCGAGGUCUGGUUUUAGUUGUACGUAGUGUUCAUCCGGUGUGCCCUGAGAACGAGAUAUGUGCAGCUCCUAUCAGGAUUUGUUGGCACAUUCGGGCGGCUUUGCUGGUCUUGUUUUACCAUUGUCGAAAUGUCUUGUAAACCGGGAUUCCGAGACUGAUCGGGUCUUCCCGGGAGAAGGUUUAUCCUUCGUUGACCGUGAGAGCUUAUAAUGGGCUAAGUUGGGACACCCCUGCAGGGUAUUAUCUUUCGAAAACCGUGCCCGCGGUUAUGUGGCAGAUGGGAAUUUGUUAAUGUCCGGUUGUAGAGAACUUGACACUUGACCUUAAUUAAAACGCAUCAACCGCGUGUGUAGCCGUGAUGGUCUCUUCUCGGCGGAGUCCGGGAAGUGAACACGGUUUCUGGGUUAUGUUUGACGUAAGUAGGAGUUCAGGAUCACUUCUUGAUCAUUGCUAGCUUCACGACCGUUCCGUUGCUUCUCUUCUCGCUCUCAUUUGCGUAUGUUAGCCACCAUAUAUGCUUAGUGCUUGCUACAGCUCCACCUCAUUACCCCAUCCUUUCCUUUAAGCUUAAAUAGUCUUGAUCUCGCGGGUGUGAGAUUGCAGAGUCCUCGUGACUCACAGAUACUUCCAAAACAGUUGCAGGUGCCGACGAUGCCAGUGCAGGUGACGCAACUGGGCUCAAGUGGGAGCUCGAUGAAGAUCUUGUUCGUUGUGUUGUUUCUUUUCAUCUUGAUCAGUAGUGGAGCCCAGUUGGGACGAUCGGGGAUCUAGAAGUUGGGUUGUCUUCUUUUAUUUUGGUUCCGUAGUCGGACCUAUGUGUGUAUCUUGAAUGAUGUAUGACUUAUUCAUGUAUUGUGUGAAGUGGCGAUUGUAAGCCAACUCUUUAUCCCAUUCUUGUUCAUUACAUGGGAUUGUGUGAAGAUGACCCUCCUUGCGACAAAACCACAAUGCGGUUAUGCCUCUAAGUCGUGCCUCGACACGUGGGAGAUAUAGCCGCAUCGUGGGCGUUACAUUGGACCAUAUGAAGCCUUUGGUCUGGAAUUUGGCUUCUUCCCAGGCUGUGUCGUGAUGACAUUCACAGGAAGAUUCUCAAGACAACUUUUGGGAACCCAGAUCUUCUUCAUAGGUGGCCCAUUCCUGCAGUUAGUACCAAUAUACCUGGCAAACAGUUCACCAUUCCGAUUCUUAAACAGUUUAUAGUUUGCAUCAAAGGAUUCAUCAAUGAUAAUAGGGUUAGCACAAGUGAAGCCAGAUAAGGUGGAUGGAUCCACUGAAGGUCCCUUUGCAGCAACCCAUGUGGUUUUGGGGUACUGCUCAGGCUUCCAGUAGGAACCAUCAACAUUCAUUUUCCUCUCGAACCCAACACCCUCUUUCCCAGGGUUUCGGUUCAGAAUCUUCUUUUUGAGGACAUCGCACAGUGUCUGAUGCCCUUUGAGACUUUUGUACAUCCCUGUUUCAAGCAAUGUCUUCAACCUAGCAUUUUCAUCAGCAAUAGUAGUGGUAUCCUCAGCAGAGGGGUUAGUUACCACAUCAACACUUGAAGAUAUUGCAACAGUAGCAGUAGUAGAACAUUCAGCAACAGAAGUAGCGUUAUCACGCUCAAGGCAUUUUAGACAUGGUGGUUCAAAUCCUUCCUGAGCGGGACUGAUCUGUUGAGCGCGAAGUGACUCAUUCUCUUUUUGAAGAUCUUCAUGAGCCGCUCUCAAUUUCGCAAGCUCUUGCUUCCUUUGAAGAUAAUCAUAGGAAAGCUUUUCAUGAGUGGUUGAGAGCGUUUCAUGACGACUUUCAAGUUCCUGGUACUUAACAUGAAGAUUUUUUAUGUCUUCAAUUAAGGACUGAGAUCGGGUCAUUUCCGCGUCAAACAGGUCAUCGCUUUUGUCUAACAGUUUUUGAGUAUGUUCCAUAGCUUUCUGUUGUUCAGUUGCAAUUUUAGCAAGUUUUUUGUAGCUGGGUUUGGAUUCACAAUCAGAGUCAUCUUCACUUGAUGUUUGAAAGUAAGCAUCGCGUGAUUUUACCUUGGCACCACGUGCCAUGAAGCAAUAGGUGAGAGCAGAGUCGUCCUUGUCAUUAGCAUCAACGUUGGUGACGGGGCCAUUGUCUUCAGUGUUGAAGAUGGACUUGGCAACGUAGGCUGUAGCUAGAGCCAGACUUGCAAUGCCAGGGUCGGACUCCUCCUCAGACUCCACCUCCGCCUCCUCAGAAGCAGACUCCUCCUCUGAAUCCAUCUCCUUGCCAACAAAAGCACGAGCCUUGCCAGAUGAGCUCUUCUUGUGUGAUGAAGACUUGGACGAAGACUUGGAAGAAGACUUUGAGGAUUUCUUCUUCUUCUUGUCAUCUGAAUCAUAUUCCUUGCUCUUCUUCUUCUUCUUCUUCUUCUUCUUCUUCUUCUUCUUCUUCUUGUCAUUGUCCCGCUAUGGACAUUCAGAGAUGUAGUGUCCAGGUUUCUUGCACUUGUGACAUGUUCUCUUCUUGUAAUCAUGAGUGGAAGCUUCAUCAUUUCUUGAGCUGGAUCGUGAAGAAUUUCUGAAGCCCUUCUUCUUAGUGAACUUCUGGAACUUCUUCACAAGCAUAGCAAGCUCCUUUCCAAUGUCUUCAGGAUCACCAGAAUUGCAGUUAGAUUCUUCUUCAGAUGAGGAAACAGCUUUUGCCUUCAAAGCGCGAGUUCGGCCAUAGUUGGGACCAUAGAUAUCUCUUUUCUCAGAUAGCUGGAACUCAUGUCUGUUGAGCCUCUCAAGUAUGUCAGACGGAUCGAGUGUCUUGAAGUCAGGGCGUUCUUGUAUCAUCAGGGCAAGGGUGUCAAAUGAGCUGCCAAGUGAUCUCAGCAGUGUCUUGACGAUUUCAUGCUUGGUCAUCUCAGUGGCGCCGAGAGCACGAAGCUCAUUUGUGAUGUCAGUGAGGCGAUCAAACGUGAGCUGGACAUUCUCAGUGUCGUUUCUUUUGAAGCGGUUGAAGAGGUUGCGAAGAACACUGAUCCUUUGAUCUCUCUGGGUUGAGACACCUUCAUUGACCUUGGAGAGCCAGUCCCAGACUAGCUUCGACGUUUCCAGAGCACUCACACGGCCAUACUGUCCUUUGGUCAGAUGACCACAGAUGAUGUUCUUGGCAGUAGAAUCUAGUUGAAUGAACUUCUUGACAUCAGCAGGGGUGACACCUUCACCAGUUUUGGGAACACCAUUCUUGACGACAUACCAGAGGUCGACAUUAAUGGCUUCAAGAUGCAUGCACAUCUUAUUCUUCCAGUAGGGAUAUUCAGUUCCAUCGAAGACGGGGCACACAUCAGAGACUUUGAUUAUCCCUGCAGUCGACAUAGCUAAAACUCCAGGUGGUUAAACCGAAUCACACAGAACAAGGGAGUACCUUGCUCUGAUACCAAUUGAAAGUGCUAGUUAUCAACUAGGAGGGGGGGUGAAUAGGCGAUUUUUCAAAGUCUUCAAAACAUGAGAGUUUUGAAGACAAACAAUAGAAAUGAAUCUAUUGAGAUGCAGCGGAAGGUAGACUACACUAGGCAGGCCAUAGUCAAGUAUUCAAUGAAUUGAAAGCAUGAAGACUAAUAGCAGCUAGGUAGUAAAGAUCAGGAUGGAAGAUAGUAUGAAGCCAAACAACAAUAGAAGUCACACAGUGAAGUCAAACAGGUAACACAUGCAGGCAAUGACUUCAUGAAGACAAACUGUAAAUAAAGAGAGGGAGAGGAUAGAACCAGUCGCUUGGUGAGGACAAGGAUUUUUUGGACCAGUUCCAGUUGCUGGGACAACUGUACAUCUGGUUAGGGAGGCUGAGAUUUAACUCAGAAGACCGUGUCUUCACCUUAUUCCCCUUGAGCUAAGGACACCCAGUCCUCGCCCAAUCACUCUGGUAAGUCUUCAAGGUAGACUUCCAAACCUUCACAGACUUCGUUCACCGUCGAUCCACAAUGACUCUUGGAUGCUCAGAACACGACGCCUAACUAGUUGGAGGAUUCACAGUCCUCAAGUGUAACAAGUCUUCAGGUCACGCAGACAGAAAGACUUCAGUGAUGCCUAACACUCUUUGGCUCUAGGUGUUUGGGCUUUGUCCUCGCAAGGAUUUCUCUCUCUCAGAAGCUUCAGAGGUGGGUUGCUCUCAAACGACAAAAGCCGUCCACUAACUCUGAGCAGCCACCAAUUUAUGGUGUAGGGGGUGGGCUAUAUAUAGCCACUAGGCAACCUGACCUGAUUUGUCCGAAAUGACCCUGGGUCAUUAAGGAACUGACACGUGUUCCAACGGUCAGAUUUCAAACACACGCGACAGCUUGACUUGGGCUACAAGUAAAGCUGACUCAUCCAACUCUGGAUAAGAUUUUCUCUCAUUGUCUUCGCUCAAAGACAUAGGAUUUGGUUGAGCAUCACUUCAGUCACUCUGACUUUCUUCACUUGGACCCCACUUAACAGUACAGUAGUUCCUAUGACUCAACAAAGAAGAAAAUGAAACAACGAAACAACUAUGUCUUCGCGCUUCAAAGUCUUCACGCGAUGUCUUCUUAUGUCAUAGUCUUCAAUGUGAAUAUCUUCACAUACCACCAUUGUCUUCAAUGUCUUCACACAUUUUAGGGGUCAUCUCCGGUAGGUAAACCGAAUCAAUGAGGGACUACUACCUGUGUUAUCCUGCAAUUCUCACAAACACAUUAGUCCCUCAACCAGGUUUGUCGUCAAUACUCCAAAACCAACUAGGGGUGGCACUAGAUGCACUUACAGCCAUCAGUUCGGACAUUGACAUGGCACCUCGUGCUAAAUAAACCAGCUGUUCUUUUUGUGCAGUUCCACCAAAAUCUACCAAAUUCGCGCGUAGCUUGUAUGAUUUCUCCCUUAUAUGUUGCAACACCUUGAACUUAUCGGCACCUCCUUUCUUGUGGUGGAAAUGAAUGAUUCGAUGUAUUCAUGAACAUUUUGUGCAGUUCCCAUUGAAAUCAAGCUGAGCACCCCUGUUUGCACAAAUACAAAAAAAGUGAUUAGUAUAAAGCAAACUGUACUAUGAAUUGACAGUUUAAACAAGCACCUACAUGGUCCAUGUAGAACACACUUUUACAAAAAUGGAACUCACCGGAAAGAAUCCUAGAACACCAUUGUAAUCGCGCAUCACAGCAAGAAAAUGGAGAUUUGUCAGUCCUUCUGAGCUGAAGUUAGUUUGGUCUUGUGGGGGGUAAUGUAACCAUCCUUCAACUGCUCCUUCUGAUGAGAAGAUAGACAGGGCUUCUUCAUCCUGGCAUAAUCGGAACUAGUCACUUCACGUACUCCAUAUUCUUCUUCAGAGGAGGAUGAUCCUGUUGUGCAAAGACAAGAUGAUAACUAAAUGCUAGCAUCCCUGUUUGCUCAAAAAAGGAAAGGAAAUAUUUAAAACAACACAGAUGAAGCACUUCUCAAGGACAAUACCACUUUUUGAUGACAACAUCUAAACAGUAGCACAACACCAUUAGAGAUGACAAAGCUCAAUCAUAUGGAUGAAAUCAGUGGGCGAGUACCAACCUUUGUCAGGAGGCUUAUUGUGUAGAGCAUACAGAUGAAGCACUUCUCCGGAACCAUCUGUUGCUAUCUACUGUGGUGGCCAUGCUUACUAUAUACUCCUCGAUUAGAUUAAUGUUUCCAACAUCUUCUUGUGCAGUUCCACUAAAAUAUAUGGUAUCUUCAAAGAAGAUCCCUGUUUGCACAAGUAGAGAUAAUUACGUAUUACAUUAAGAAUGUCAUCAAAUCAGUGGCAAAACGAUUUCUUGUUCCAGCCAUAGCAAUAAAUUAAGAUGCAAAACUAUAUCAUUACUUGUGUCAUCACAGUUCCAGUGCUUCGUUACAACACCAGGAGUUGAUUUUUGUUUUUCUUCCGCUUGUUCUUCCCCUUCAUCACUUGGUUCAAUAACAGACAAGCUUCGCCUUCAAUGUAAGAUUUGGCAUGUCAAUUAGGUUGCACAAGUAUAGCACUAAACAAUGACAUUAAUUUUCUGAUGAAAGUGAAAAAAUACAGGCCAGCAGUUGUGAAAUACCCUUAUCUUACCUCAAUGGGAUAUUACGGUGCACAUACAGAUUGGAAGUCUUGUCUCCAUUUGUGCAGUUCACUAAAAUCAAGCAACAUUACCGUACAAGUAGCACAACAUAUGAAAGCACACUGCAGAAUCAUGUGAAAGAAGGCUAGUACUGACCUCUCAUGACGCGGAAUUCAAACAACUCACAAGAAGAAGAUCUGAACCAAAUUUGCCAACACAGAUAGGAAGUAAGAUCUCCUCUUGUGCAGUUCCACUAAGAUCAAGCAAUCAAGCAACGUUGUCAGUGUGACAUUUUGGUUGAACUGCACAAAACACUCUUAAAACAAAAGUGUUUUGUGCAGUGCAACAAAAGGUCACAAUGGCAACGAGGUGAAGUAGAUAACCCUGUUUACACAGAGGUGCAAAGGAAACAACUAGUGGUCAAUAACGGUGGAUGACACAGAAGCCAACAAAAAGAAGCAUCUACCUUAUCUAAAUGGGAAAUAAAGCAAGACAGUAGCAUUUCUCAAACGGUGGCAUUGAUUAAUAUUAACAGAGAGAUUAUAUUAACAAUAAAAUUCGUUAAACAUGUAAUUUGCUUUUAACUGUGGCAUUGCAUCAAUUUUCCAGCGGCAUUAUUAGAGGGUGUUUGUUUACAGGGACAUUUUGGUGGAGGGACUAAAAAACUUCGUGUCAGUCCCAUCUAAACCAAACAAGAGGGACUUUUAGGGACUAAAAGUGGGCAUUUGGGACUAAAGAAAGAAGACCCCGAGGGAGUCUUUUUGGGACUUUUUCCAACAGUUGCCCCUGCCACGCAUCGCACCUUGUCUCUAUUAGUUCACUACUAGGGUAACAUGGUCUUUUAGCAUGUCAUUUAAUAACCUAUAGUCCAUGUUUAGUCCCUGGAACCAAGAAGGUAGGGACUAGGGAGUUUUUAACCAAACAGGGCCUUAGAUUAACAAUAGCUAAAGAGUUGCAUGGGACAGUGGACGCACCAGCACCAUGUGCAUCUACCGAUGUACUGGGGCGAUGCACAGUCUGUUGCAACAAAGAACAAACAACCAAGGAGCAUAUUUGUGUUGGUCCCAGUUUUGUUAUCUUUAGACACCUUUCCCUAUGUGAGCGCAGCAAAUCUAGUCCUGCUCAAACUCUACAGCCUUGUCCCCCAAAACAAAAGAUCAGUUCGUUACAGAUGUGCGUACCGCGUUUGUCAUUGUUUUCCCUUUUCGACCCAUGUAGGUGCUGGAUAGCCAGUCUGUACUAGUACUUUCCCCACUUCCUUUCCUCUGUGAACCACGUCCUAGAUUUAUGCUAUACAACUUUUGUAAUGCCCACGAUGCGACUAUAUCUCCCACGUGUUGAGGCAUGACUUAGAGGCAUAACCGCAUUGUGGUAUUGUCGCAAGAAGGGUUAUCUUCACACAAUCCCAUGUAAUGAACAAGAAUGGGAUAACGAGAGUUGGCUUACAAUCGCCACUUCACACAAUACAUAAAUUAAUUCAUACAUCAUCCAAAAUCCACACAUAGACCGACUACGGUCAAAUCCAAAUGAAAAUAAGAUAACCCCAAAUGCUAGAUCCCCGAUCGUCCCAACUGGGCUCCACUACUGAUCAUCAGGAAACGAAACAUAGUAACGACCACGUUCCUCGUCGAACUCCCACGUGAGCUCGGUUGCGUCACCUGCACUGGCAUCGUCGGCACCUGCAACUGUUUUUGGUAGAAUCUGUGAGUCACGAGGACUCAACAAUCUCACACCCGCGAGAUCAAGACUAUUUAAGCUUAUAGGAAAGGAUGGUGUAAUGAGGUGGAGCUUCAGCAGGCACUAAGCAUAUAUGGUGGCUAACAUACGCAAAUGAGAGCGAGAAGAGAAGCAAUGCAACGGUCGCGAAGCUAGAAAUGAUCCUGAAACUACUUACGUUCAUUCAUAACUCAAACCGUGUUCACUUCCCGGACUCCGCCGAAAAGAGACCAUCACGGCUACACACACGGUUGAUGUAUUUUAAUUGAGUCAAGUGUCAAGUUCUCUACAACCGGACAGUAACAAAUUCCCAUCUGCCUCAUAACCGCGGGCACGGCUUUCGAAAGAUAAUACCCUGCAGGGGUGUCCCAACUUAGCCCAUAAUAAGCUCUCACGGUCAACGAAGGAUAAACCUUCUCCCGGGAAGACCCGAUCAGUCUCGGAAUCCCGGUUUACAAGACAUUUCGACAAUGGUAAAACAAGACCAGCAAAGCCACCCGAAUGUGCCGACAAAUCCCGAUAGGAGCUGCACAUAUCUCGUUCUCAGGGCACACCGGAUGGGCAAGACGUCGGGUUGGCAUAGACCCUGGUUGCCCAGGGGGCGCCGGACAUCGCCUAGUUUGGGCCAGCACUCGAAGGAGCACUGGUCCGGGGGUUUAAAUAAAGAUGACCGUUGGGCUCGCGAAAACCCAAGGGAAAAAGGCUUAGGUGGCAAAUGGUAAAACCAAGGUUGGGCCUUGCUGGAGGAGUUUUAUUCAAGGUGAACUGUCAAGGGGGUCCCAUAAAUCACCCAACCGCGUAAGGAACGCAAACUCAAGGAACAUAAUACCGGUAUGACGGAAACUAGGGCGGCAAGAGUGGAACAAAACACCAGGCAUAAGGCCGAGCCUUCCACCCUUUACCAAAUAUAUAGAUGCAUUCAUUAAAAUAAGAGAUAUUGUGAUAUUCCAAAAAAUCCAUGUUUCAACAUGGAACCAACUUCAACUUCACCUGCAACUAGCAACGCUAUAAGAAGGGCUGAGCAAAAGCGGUAACUUAGCCAAACAACGGUUUGCUAGGAAAGGAUGGUUAGAGGCUUGACAUGGAAAUAUGGGAGGCAUGAUAUAGCAAGUGGUAGGUAGCGCAGCAUGGCAAAAGAGCGAACAACUAGCAAAGCAAAGAUAGAAGUGAUUUCGAGGGUAUGGUCAUCUUGCCUGCAAGGUUCUCAGAGUUGUCGAAAGCUUGAUUCUCGUAAGCGUACUCAACAGGUUCCUCGUUCACGAACUCGUCUCCCGGCUCUACCCAAAGCAAGAACACAAGCAAUGGAACCACAAUCAAUCACGGGAAAUGCACAAGCAACAUGAUGCACUACAUGCAUGAUAUGCGAGAUAUGAUAUGCGAUGCGUAUGCGUGCUUCGGAAGAAAAAGGAUGAACAAGGCAGUAACUUGGCAAGCCAAGCAUGCUACUGGAAAGAUGAGAUGAUUUCGGUCGAAAUCGAUAUAAAGAUCACCGGAAACGGAUGCACGGUUUGCAAAUGGCAAGCAAAAACAAGAAUGACACGAUUAUGCGAUUAACAGCAUGAUAGCACUUAGAAUACAUCAAGUAACUAUGCUACAGCACUCCAACAUAGCAACAAAGCAUAUGGCAGUAAUCUACAGGAGAUGCUUGACAAAAGAUGAACACUGAGCUACGGCUAGAUCACACAAUAACAGGUUCAAACAAGCAUGGCAAAAGUGCGAAAGAUAACAGGUUCACAGACUUGAUAAAAAUACUGGACAUGGCAGAAACAGCAUCAGGUAGCAAUGUUCAGAGCAGGCAAUCAACAUGCUACAGGAACUUAACAUAGCAAAACAAGUCAUGGAAUGAAUCUACUAAAAGCAUAGAACAAAAGUCCCUGAGUGACCAUGAGCCAAAAAGGAUCAGAAGAUAUGAUGGCACCCAUGUAAACAUAGCAAGUUUCGUUAACAGGUUUCAGACUUGGCAGAAAACAGAGCAUGGCAGUAAACAGAAUUAUGAAGGCAUCUUGGUGAGCUUGAUUUACUCACCACAAAUCAAUGCAUGACAAAACAAGAAUACCUACAGCAAGAUGGCAUGUUUAUGAAGCUAACCAUGGCAAGAUCAAGUUUAUAGCAUGUAUGGAUCAACUACAACAACCUUGGCAAAAUUGAAUAUUAUGUUAACAUUCUGCCAGAAACAUUUUAUAGCAAAAGUAGAGCACGAUUAAGACAUGCUAGGGCACUCCAUAAUUGCAAACAGGGGCAUGGAUGGAUAGACCACAACUAUAUCUAUAAAACAUCCUUACUGAACAUACUCAAAAGAAGCAUGGAUCUCACUGUAGCCACAUGGAUACAUGGCAACAAAAUAACAGCAGAUAAAAGACAGCAAAAUCCUAAGUCCCUGAACACAGAAACACCACGAAGCCUAGUUUGCAUGCUUGUUCUAGUCACCACAUAGAUCACAAAAAUACAUGGCAUACACCUCUGUAAAGAGGGCAUUGCAUAGAUCAAAACACCUGUAGAGCUCAUGCCCAUAAGAUGCACACAUCAAAUGCAACAGAAAUAACAAAUCACCAAGUUCUGAUAGGUAACAGCAGUAAACAUCAUAUAGCACUCUUGCACCAGAGAUUUUGGCAUCAAGAUGGACUCAAACGAGCAUGGCACAAUGGAACAAAAUGAAGAGCAUCUUGAGACGAACAUUUAUAUAUAUCAUGCACGUAAAACGGAGCAGCAUGCGGUGAGAUAUGAUGCGAUGAACAUGAGUACAUAAUGCAAUAUCCUCGGGACUUUGAGAAAAUCGGAGGGAGGGAAAAAGUCAACCUCCUCCAGAUCGGAUCUGGCGCGGGCCGAGGCGGGCCUGCUGCUCGCCGGGGAAGGAGGGGAAGAGAGUGGCCGGCCGGAGUUGCGGGGACGGGCGAGGCCGGAGGACGUCGGGGUCGGGGAGGAGGAGCACGGGGGAGGCCGGCGACCGGAGCGGCGGGCGGCGGCCUCGGGCGGCGCCGGCNNNNNNNNNNNNNNNNNNNNNNNNNNNNNNNNNNNNNNNNNNNNNNNNNNNNNNNNNNNNNNNNNNNNNNNNNNNNNNNNNNNNNNNNNNNNNNNNNNNNNNNNNNNNNNNNNNNNNNNNNNNNNNNNNNNNNNNNNNNNNNNNNNNNNNNNNNNNNNNNNNNNNNNNNNNNNNNNNNNNNNNNNNNNNNNNNNNNNNNNNNNNNNNNNNNNNNNNNNNNNNNNNNNNNNNNNNNNNNNNNNNNNNNNNNNNNNNNNNNNNNNNNNNNNNNNNNNNNNNNNNNNNNNNNNNNNNNNNNNNNNNNNNNNNNNNNNNNNNNNNNNNNNNNNNNNNNNNNNNNNNNNNNNNNNNNNNNNNNNNNNNNNNNNNNNNNNNNNNNNNNNCAGCGGGCCCUGCGGGCUUCGGCGGCGGGGCGGCGAAGUGGGCACGGGGCUGCCAUGUGGCACGCCCCGGUUGGCUGCGGGCGGCGGUGCGUUUCGUCCGGCGCCGGGCGGACGUGUCCGGUGGCGCGAGGGAAGGGGUGACUAGGGUUUGGACCCGUAAUUUCGGAGGGGGAGGUGUUUAUAUAGGCAUAGCGAGCUAGGAGAGUCCAAAUGAGGCACGGUUUUCGCCCACACGAUCGUGAUCGAACGACCGAGAGCAUGGAAGUGACUUAGGUGAGUUAUUGGGCUGUUUGGAUGGGGGUUUUUGCUGCAACACACAAAAGACCUUUGCGGUUACCCGGUUAACCGUUGGAGCAUCAAACGACCUCCAAAUGGAACGACACUUGACAGGUGGUCUACCGGUGGUAUACCAAGGCCACUUGGCAAACCUCGGUCCAUUCCGAGAACGUUUAACACCCGCUCAUGAAAAGAAACAAGAGGGGUGCGCCGGUGCAUGUGGGAGUGUCGGAUUGCAAAACGGACAACGGGGAAAAUGCUUGGACACAUGAGACGAACACGUAUGCAAAUGAGAUGCACAUGAUGACAUGAUAUGAGAUGCAUGACAUGAACAAAAUGCAAAACGAGAGACAAAAACCCGACCACGGAGGGAAUAUCAUAACACAUAGCCGAAAAUGGCAAGAGUUGGAGUUACAAAUAUGGAAAGUUACAUCCGGGGUGUUACAACUUUCCCCAAUAUUUUCCCCCAUUCCUGUCCUCUUUGGACCACAUCUUAGAUUCAUGCGAUACAACUUUCCCGACAACUUUCCCCCUUUCUUUCCUUUUUGAACCACGUCCUAGAUUCAUGCUAUACAACUUUUCCCACUACUUUCCCCCAUUCCUUCCCUCUUUGAACCACGUCCUAGAUUCAUGGUAUACAACUUUCCCCACUACUUUCCUGUUUGAUCCAACACCUAGAUUCGAGUGCAGAAGCGGAAAAAGCCCACAUGCAGCUAGAGCAAUGCAUGUGGAAUAAGUAAAUUAUACCUUAAGGUUCUUGGUGUGUGGUUCGGUGGGCGACCGGAGGCCGUUCGACCCACACUAUGUACGGCGACGAAGAAGAAGGGGUCGGAGGCCCUCCCGCGCCGCCGCUGGGUGAAAGUGAACAGCUGCACCGGUAGUGGAUUCCCUCCCUCGCCGACGGCGACAGCGUUAAGCAUCCUUCCCUUCCCGGUGGAUGGCUCUUUGACCAGCAGUGAGGGGAGAGAGAGAGGCCAGCGAAGUCUUGUUUAGAUCUGGAGAGGGUGAGAGAGUGUGAAGAGAGCAACUACAAGCAGACCAGCAGUGAGGGGAGAGAGAGAGGGCAACAGAGUCUUGUUUAGAUCUGGAGAGGGUGAGAGAGUGUGAAGAGAGCAACUACAAGCGCUGAGGCUCCAGCAUGUAUAUAUAUACUGGAGAGAGUGUGAAGAGUGCAAACCCUAGAAAACAAGCAUCGAGGCUGCAGCUUAUACAUGAUGAGGUGAUUAUACGGUCACUACGAGAUCGUAUAGCUCCAUAUCCAUCCAUUUUGACCAUUCAAAGAAUCCUCCUGGCACGAAUUAUGCUCAAGUGUAGUUAUCGAACCCGAGACCUCAAGUUUGAUGAGCGAACAGGCUAACCAGCUACACAACCCUCCCGUUAUGUUCAACGAGAGGAAAAUAACCUUUUAUACAUUCCUGCAUUCGUGUGACAAGCAUGCCGUGUUUUGUGUGUGUGUGGGAGUCAUUGGGAUUUAAAUCAUAAUCGUGUCAUGUGGCUUUGGUGGUAAGACUAUCCACAGUGGUGCAGAAAUAAUGCUGCCUUAGUCACCUUACCUCUCUCCACGUAGUACAUUGGGUCCCACCAGUCAGAGGGUGAAACAAACAAAUUAAUAAGAAAAAUUAAAAGCGCCAGCGGUGUAUUUUACCUCACACAUCUCGCUACUGCUCGGGAACACUGUCCAAUUGAUCCCUCUGUUCGCUCACGUACUAUUUUAAGUGAAUCCUUAUUAUAACAUGCACACAAUUUUGGGCACUUGUAUUCGACCUAAGUCAGUGUGCCACCGUAUCUCGUACGACUCCCUCCGUCUAGGUGUAAUAAGUCACGUUAGAAGGUGCAGCGGGACCAAGGUGCAAGCAGAUUGGAGGAGAAGGAGAAACUUGACCGGUCAUUCCUCCAAUCAAAGCCCUGAUUUCUGUCUCUAAACGCAACAAUUAAUCCAAACAACUAAGAGAUGCCUCUUCUAUUCUUGUACGUACUCCAUUUGUAUCUCACUUCCUGUGGCUUCGCACUUGCACGAUUUUCCUAUUCUAUGAACCUGUGUGUGCGUGUGCGUGUGUGUGUUUAACAGCGUGUGUGUUAGAGAGAGCGACAGAUCGACCUACUCCUACAGAGUGAUGGUGUGUAGUGUACGAUUUUAUCCGCGAGAGUCGGUGCAUCCUCUCGUUUCCGGGCGUCCGGUAGGGACAGGCGGACAGCUGCCACGCCUGCUCCUGACCAGCCUGGCCCACCCAAAGCCCCUCCAUCGCCCGCGUGCGCUUCCCGCCCAAAACGGUCAGCGCCGCUCCAAAGAAUCGGUGCCGCAUUCAUGCCCGGGCAGAGUGGAUGCGACCUCUCACUGGCACCUGCAUUGAAGGAAGAAGCGGAUUCAAGAGUGAUGGUUGCUUCAUCCGUCCAACUUACUGCUGGGUCUAUGUGAUUUGACGGCUCAUUGGUCAUUAUUAUUGAGGUGGUAGGACUGCUGGAUGUCCCACGCUUUCGGCGAAAGGAGGUACUACUAGAUUACAAUUUUCUCCAUUCUUACGGCGGAGGAGUGCAAGAUCAGUGAAAACACGCAGGCUCAGUGAUUACAUGGCCCACCUCACACUAUCACCAUAUUUUCUGGACACCGUGCGACACCUAACUGUUUACAUAGUACUACUUGUAUAGUACGUACUGCAAUUUAUCAACGAGAUAGUACAAUGCUAUGAAGCUUCUAGCUUCUGUUACAUGUAUCUUGCGUCCAAGGUUGCCCGUUGCAACAUUUCAUCAAAUACAAAGGAGACUAACAUGCAUGCUAUUGCAUCUCAAUGAUUGACAGAUCAUAGCAAAUAUGUACUCCCUCCGUUCCAAAAUAAGUGUCUCAACUUUAUGCUACAUACGGAGCAAAAUGAGUGAAUCUACCCUCUAAAAUACGUCUAUAUACAUCAGUGUUUGGAGUAUUUACUAGUAGUUCAUAUUGAAAUCUACUAAAGGACAUAUAUAUUCCAAACAAUAUGAUAAUCUCUCUAACCAAGGUAGUAGGGACGAGGACUAAACGGAGAGAGUACUAGUAAAAUUUUCUCCUCGUCCUGCGAGCCACCGCGCGCGUGGGCGAGGGAGCGGGCGUAAGGCAUACGGUACUACUACUACUACUCAUGUAGUCCCUAGCCAUUGAAAUAGAGACAGCUAAAGAAAAAAAGAUCCAUGCAGUCCCUAGCCCUUGAACCGUAAACCCUAACCAGGCUUUAAUUUGCUGGCAACGUCGGCGUUUCUUAAGAAAUGAAGUUUGCAACCCUUUGACCAUCGGAUCAUUUUGUGCAGUUUCACCAAAAUCAAGAUGAGCAUCCCUGUGGCACAGAAAUUGAAGAAGCGUGAUUAGAAUAAUAUUACUGGGACUAGUUGAUGAGACAUAAACUCAUCACAAAUACAGUACGUAGAAGCCAGUAGAGGUAUGUGCGGGGCAAAGAAGUAGAGAAAUAUCCACAUGGAGUGAUGUGGGAAGCUGGAGCAGUGGUGCAAGCCGGCUGUAAAGGGAGUUGUACCUGAGGGAUGUCGGGACGUAGCUCAACCUAGAGGAGGGCGGCGGGAGGAGGCAACUACCCACGUCGCGACAGUGAGCAAUGGACGAAGGCAACCUCACCGGCUUUGUGAGAGAGAAUGGCGGGGACCCCUGAUCGGGACGUGCCGACAGUGGGUUUUCGCCGUCGGCAACGGCGACCGCAUCUACACUAAGCAUCCACCCCUUCCCCCGGCGGACGUGAUCCGCCGGGAUGUUAGAGAUGUGGCCACAGUGGUUUUGUGCGAGAGAGUGUGAAAACUGAAGAGAGCAACCCCAGCAAGCAACCGUGUAGGCUCGUCCUGCCUAUGUAUAUAGUGGAGCGGUUUCCUUUUCUCUCCGUAUGAACCUAUUUAUAUUGCGUACGUGCCACUGAAGAAAAAAAACUUUAUUUAUAAAUGACGCGGCACCUACUACUCGUUCUCCUAUAAACCUUGCGCUUGGCAUCUCCAAACUAUUAACCUUGCGAUUGGCUCUUCGCCUCUUCGGGAAGUCGAGCAAUAAUGGUACUGCAGUAUAUAUCGUUCUGGCUAUAUGAGACCGAAUGAAUUGCUGCACGUCCACCACGUGGUGAGGGUCGAGGAGCGAGGGAGAGUGCGUACUAUUACGUCCGUUUCAAUAUGGACUACAUACAGAGCAAAAUGAGUGAAUCUACACUCUAAAAUACGUCUAUAUACAUCAGUGUUUGGAGUAUGUACUAGUAGUUCAUAUUGAAAUCUACUAAAGGACAUAUAUUCCAAAUGAUAUGAUAAUCUCUCUAACCAAGGUAGUAGGGACGAGGAGUAAACGGAGGGAGUACUAGUAAAAUUUUCUCCUCGUCCUGCGAACCACCGCGCGCGUGGGCGAGGGAGCGGGCGUAAGGCGUAGUAAGCAAGCUUCACCUCAUCCCGCAUGCCACGUGCCCGUGGGCGGGGGAGACGGUGUACUAAGCAAGCUUCUCCUCGUUCUGCGAGUUCACGGGACACAUCAAAAGUACUCCAGUGUAUAGAGCCUUGCCUCUAAGGUAGGCCCCACAUGGUUUGCCUCUUUUUAACAUAACGCGUCAAGUCGCAAUUUGUUUGUUCACCCGUGGUAGACGAUCCUCCCUCCAUCUAGUGGACAACCAGUACAUGUGUCAAGUUACCACGUGGGCUGCCUUUUCGUACAGAAAUGAGCUCCACCGUGUACCCGCGCGGGUGUGGUUGGGAAAGAGACGGGAGUACGUGCGCCGUGCGUGCACCUCUUCUCUUCGUGCACGUCCCCCACCUAUGUGGGUGUGUGUGAGAGAUACAAACCUAGACAAAUGGAUUGUGCAUUCGUGAGUGUUUUUUGUUUUGGGGGGGGGGGUUGAUUUCGUGAAUGUAUUUGUGGGAAUAUGUGUCGAUGACAUCUCAAACAAAGUUUUGCAUGCAAUGUGUGUGAAAUGGAGGCCUAUCCAUAUCAUAUAUAGAGGGUCGGGCGAUCCACGAGAAGAGAGGGAGGGGUCAUAGAUAUCGAUAGAUUCGAAGAGAGGAUCAAGUGGGUGGGUGCGAGAUCGAUGAAGAGAGCCAUCGAAAUUGUGUGUGUGUGCAAGUCAAAGAUAUAGGGCGACUGACCUAGCUACCGGAACGUCAGAGGGCACAGGUCAAGUUUGUGUGUGGCAGGGAGACAUGACUAGAGCGCUCGAUGUAUCGGUGUGUGUGUGUGUGUGUGUGUGUGUGCGAGGGGGUGGGGGAGGGGUAGGCAGAGGCCUAACUAUAGAGGUAGAACGACUCGUACAUGUGUUGAGAAGGAGAGACCCAGCUAUGUCUUGAGGGAGAUCGGUCGACAUCCAUACAUAACUGAAGGAUGGGAAAUAGGAUGGGACAGAGAGAGAUGAGAGAGAGAGGGAGGGAGAGGGGUAGAGUGCUGGAUGGGUGAUGGAGUUGCUUCUCGAAGAUGGUGGGAGAGGACUACUAGACAAACUGAGGGUGGAACUGCAAUAUUAUCAAUAAGAGUGGGGAUGUGUUUCUGUGUGUGUCUGUGCGUGAUAGAUCUGUCAGGACACAUCCAUGGAUGAUCAAGGGGAACCAUGUGUUUGGUAAGCAAACCUAACUAGAUCGGUAGAUCAAUUGUUGUUUGUCGGAGGAAGGGAGAGACAUAACUAAUGAGGUAGAUCGAUCGACGCGUGGGGAAAACGAUUUAUAAGGACCUAGCUAGCUAUAUGUAUAGCGGGAGAUCGGUCGGUGUAGGUCCAUUUGUUAGAGGCAAAUAAGGCCCGACGAGACGGAUAGACAGAGAGAAUGGAGCUAGGAGGUGGUGCGAGAGGCCCAGCUACUAGCUAGAUAGGGGGAGGAGUGUGCGGUUGUGAGAUUGAUGAAAAGAGGGGCGAGAGUUUACACGUGAGUGGGACCGUAUGAGAGACACGAGGCAAGGACACAUAAAGGAGGAGAUUGAAGGUGCGUGUGUAUGUUGUAGGCAGACAUCGCUGGAGAGGUUUAUCGAUCGCUGUGUGUCGGAAAGGAUUUGUGGAGACUGUGGGAGAACGACCUAAAGAAGAAAAAAAAUGAAUGUGCGCGAUGGAUAGAAUGCUG
rnacentral:lncRNA from 1 species